GAUAUUCCAAUCAUGUGACAAGUAAAUCAAAAUACAGAGAGUAACAAACUGACUGAACCGCCUUUCUUUUCUGCGCAUCCAACACACACACACCACUUGUCAUUCAAAACCAGGGGACACCGCAAAUACCCAUUCCACCGCAUUUUCUCUCCAACUAUUGUCCAAUUUCCUACAACCUUUCUUGUCUAUAAAAGAGUGUCACUGCACUUCCAUUUUUUAUCAUUCCAACUUAUAAAACAUAUUAAGGAAAAAAGUAUAUAUCUCUCUGACUUCUAUAACCUUACAAAUCAAAUCAAACACCAAACGUCGUCAAAGAUUCAAGAAAAAUGAGUUCAUCAAGAAGAGCUUGGAUAGUGGCAACUAGCAUUGGAGCAGUUGAGGCAUUAAAAGAUCAAGGUUUUGCUAGAUGGAAUUACCCUCUGAGGCUACUACACCAGCAUGCCAAGGCUAAUCUCACUAAGGUUUAUAAUACUACUCAUCAAGCUUCUAAGGGGUUUUCUGGAAAAUCUGCCAGAUUUGUUUCUAAUAAAAUACUUAAGGAGCAGAAAUUGAAGCAAUCUGAAGAGUCUUUGAGAAAUGUCAUGUACUUGAGCUGUUGGGGACCUAAUUGAUAGUGUUAGUCUCAGGCUCAGGCUCAGGCUUCACGUUUGUCUGUAUAUAUUGAUGAUCACGAUAAAGCAAUAAAUGUUGUUCUUUUAAUUACUAUCAUCUCCGUUUCAUUUUAUUUGAGGUUUGACAUAUUUAUUAAAAAAAUAUUAAUUAAAAAUAUAUUUUAUAAAAUUAAUCUUUUCUAAUUUGUUUUUUGUUUUGUUCCUCUUUGUCUUCUUUUUUGUUCCUUCUUUCCUUUUUGGUUGUCUGUAUGCGUGAGUUCUUAUAUAGUGCAUGUGUGUGUGCAUGUGUAGUGGUGUGUGAUGUGAGAGAUGGGGCGAGGGAGGGGGGGAGAUGUGAGCGACCCCCGGGGGGUUGGAAAAGAAAUGGGGCGAGUUAAAUUACUAGCUGAUAAAUUUAAAUUAGAAGAAAAAUAUUUUUUUGAAAUAUUUCUCAUUAGGUGGAAAUAAAUAUAAAAUGUAUUCUAAAAUGUAAUUUUAUUUUAAAAAAUUUUUCAUAAUUUUUUUAAUGAAGUCUAUUAGAAAUAAAAUAAAAAUUAAAAGAAUAUUUUUAAUAUAAAUUAAUAUUCAAUUUUAAAAAAUAGGUUAAAGUGGGGAGAAAAAUUUUAAAAAUAUUUUUAAUAUAAAUUAAUAUUUAAUUUUAAAAAAUAGGUUAAAGUCUGGGAGGUUCAACACGUGUCUACAUAAAUGUAUUCAUGAGGAGGAAGGGGAAAGGGAAGAAGAAGAGCUCGCAGGGUUUGUCUGUCCUGGCGACUUUUUUUCUUUCUUUUUGUUAGAUCAUAUUAGCAAACAUCAUUAAACAUUAAACAUAAAUUUGUCACCCUUUUCAAUGAUUAAAUUUUUUGUUGCCUUUUUUAAAAGAAAAUGCACAAUAGCUAAUGCAUCAGAAUCGUGCAUAGGAUAGAGAACCAUUAUUUAAUAUUUUAUUAAUUUUAAUUUAUUUGUCUGAUUUUAAUUUGUGUCAUUUAAAAAGUAAGUAAUUUUUUUUAAAAAAAUAUUAUAAUAAAGUAAUUUUUUUAAAAAAAUAUUAUAAUAUUAAAUUAAUGAUAUGUAGGAUAUAUUACAACAUCAUUAAAAAAAAUUACGAUAUUAAAUUAAUGUUAUGUAGGAUAUAUUACAACAACAUUUAAUAGGUGGUCUUAGUGUCAAAAAGACUUGAAAGUGUUGGGUUCGAAAUUGAGAGAGCGUCAUGCGGAAGCUUAUGGUUUGCAAACAAAUACGGUGAUAAUUCAGAUGACAAAUAAAAAUAUAUUAAAAAGAUAUAUUAUUGAUAUAAUUUGGCCAAACGGCCUACAUAUUAAAAAUAAAAUUAAAUUUUUUUAAAACCUAUUGAAAAAAAUCUUUCCUAAACAAAAUUUUUUUAAAGACUACAUUGUGGAUGCUACUGUGUUAUGGUAUGAGAAAGAGGUUUUCUAUUUAUAAAUGUCCAAAAUCAUUCCUCUAAAAUAAGGUCAGCCAAAUAUGGAAAAGAAUUAUAUUUUCAUUUUAGGAAAAAUAAAAGUAAUUAUGGUUACUUUUAUUUUCCUUUCAAGGAAAAAUAAAAAAUUAAUUUUGGUAAGAAAAUCAGGGCAAAACCCCCCAACAAAUCUUCCCUUUUUUACUUGAUUUUCUUCACUUGAUCCGCCUUCUUCACAUCACAUGCAUGAACUUCAUUCUUCAUACAAUCUUCAUAAUUGUUGCUUGUCAUGAUUAAAAAUAAAGUUUAAAAUAUCAUGAUUAAAAAUGAGUUAAAAUUAAUAUUUUAUUUUGAUUUUUAAAGAUGCAACAAUAGAAAUGUUGAAAAUAUGAUUGAAACUUGUUCUCCACAUUUAGUUGGACAAAAAUCUUCAUUAUCAUACAAUUGAUUGCAACUUUGAUCUUAAACUAUCCUCAAUCAAAUCAUCGGAUCUUUGAACCAUAGGCUCUGAUACCACUUGUUGGAUUCGAAAUCGAGAGGACGUCAUGUGGAAGCUUAUGGUUUGCAAACUAAUACGGUGAUAAUUCAGAUGACAAAUAAAAAUAUACUAAAAAGACAUAUUAUUUAUAUGAUUUGGCCAAACGACUUAUAUAUUAAAAAUAAAAUUGAAAAACGUAAAACAUAUUGAGAGAAAUCUCCCCUAAACAAAAAAUCUUUAAAACCUACAUUGUGAAUGCUAUUGUGUUAUGGUAUGAGAAGGGGUCUUCUAUUUAUAGAUGUCCAAAACCAUUCCUCGGAAAAGAAUUAUAUUUUUCUUUUAGAAAAAUUAAAAGUAAUUAUGGUUACUUUUAUUUUUUUUCCAAAAAAAUAAAAACUUAAUUUUGAUAAGAAAAUCAGGGCAAAAACCUCAACAAAAAGUAAUGCGUAUUUUCAUAUACUUGAUUUUCAUGCUAAAAACGGUUGUUUGAUGUCCUUAUCUAAUUUAUGAGAUCAAGAAAAUUUGAUUAUAUUUUUUUUUUAAUGAUAAGUAGUAAAUAAUUACUCUAUCAAAUAGUAAUAGCGUCACACCCCAAGCCAAGUCUGCACAUGACGGACAAGAACUGUGUGAGCAAAUUCGACUUAUACUAAAGAGAAGAACUACUAUUCAUAAACAAUUAAGGAACGUUGUAUAUAAAUAAUAUCAGCUGCAAAGUAAGUCGUUUAGAAGCUGAAGAAUUUGUAGGUCGGUAUGGGAUCAAUUGCACCUAAGAAGCUUCUGAAUGUAUAGAGAAUGUGAAACAAUUUAGGUGUAUUGCAUUAGAACUAGUCCGAUAAGCGGUUAGUUAAAAGGAACUUAAAUCCUUGGCACCUAAAUAGUUUCCAGCACUUUUAUAAUUAAGAAUUAUUUAUUAGGAAAAAGGAUAUAUGUAGUUAAUUUUGAAAUGAAUAGUCUAAGUUUAUAUAUGUGGACAAAAGAUAAUUUGUCGGCAUAUUUAGUAGUUGUUUGGCCAUGAAAACUAAAAAAUUUUGGAGUUAGAGUUGAAAUUGGAGUUGGAGUUGUAUUUGACCAUGCCUUUUUUGAAUUUAUUUUUUUUACUUUUGAAAAAACUUUUUUAAAUAUGAUUUUAUGCCCCAACUUUUACAAACUAUUAAAAUCACUCAAUUAAAAUUUAUCUACUAAUGGGAAAAGAACUCAAUUAGCCACUUUUAUAAAAAUAAUUACAUAUAUAUGGUCAUAUUUAAUGAAUUCCAAUUAUGACAUAUAUAAUAUUUACAUUAAUAGCCGUUUUUUCAUAUUUGAAAAUCUUAAAUAUGGAUGUUAUAUUAACAAAUAAAUGUUUUUUAUUUUUUAGGUAACAAAUAUUAUCUUUCAAACAAAUUUAUUUUUUUAAGAUUUUAUGUAAUUUAUUUCCUUUAUUUUCCGUUCCUAAAAAAUAGGAAAUGAUGAGUUGAUAUUAAAUUUUAGGGUGCCGCUAAUUUAUUUCUUUAAUUUUAUUAUAUAUAAAAAAUUUUACUGUAUGUGAAUAAAUUAUUUCUAUGUAAAACGUACUUUGCAUAUUUAUGCUAUAUUAUAUCAUAUACCAUAAAUAUAUAAAUAUGCUUAGUAUGUUUCUUUAUACUUUCUAUAUUUAUAUGUGUGUAUAUGGUAUAAACUUCAUAUAUAACAUACUUUGUAUAUUUAUGUUAUAAAUAUAAUACUUUAUAUAUUUAUGAGUAUAAAUAUAAUAUUUUGUGUAUAAAGAUACUAAGUAUUAUGGUAUAUAAAUGUAACAGUUGCAGUUUAAGGUAUAAAUUUAUAUAUAUAUAUAUAUAAUCAAACUAAAAAUGAGAAUAAUUUGUGGCAGUGGUAAACUAAUCUGCUACAACUUUAUUAAUUCCAUAAAUACAAAAAAUGAUUAUCCAUUAUUAAUUAAAUGACUAUAAUUCCUUAAACAUCCAUAUCUCAAUAGAAAAAUUAUUAUUAUUAGUAUAUUAUAGUAAUUAAGAUCAUUAGCAGUAAAAUAAUGUCUUGAAUAAGGAAAAAAAAUAAUUAUGAGAGAGAAAAAGAGAUAUAUAUUAAUUAGGAUAGCAUUAAGUUUGAAAUUAUAAUUAUUUUAUUCUUUAAAACUGCUAUAGGUGUAAUAUUGAAAAAGUAAUAUUAUAAGGAAAGCUUUAUAUAAAAAUUUAAAAGAUUGGGGUUAAUAACAAUAAAAGUUGGAAUUGAAGUUGAAAAAUUGGGAAAACAUCAAAAACCUGUUUUCCCGAUUCAGAAAACUUUUUUGGAAUUAUUUUUUGAAUUUUCAUUGCCAAACAUCACAAUUUUUAACUUCAAAAUUUUUUUUCGAAAAAAAGAGAAAAAUUUUCAUGAUCAAACGGGCUCUUAUUUUCAACUUAUUGAUUACCGUUUUCUAGUUUCCUGAAAUGUUAUCUUGGCUUACUACACUGUUCUUGGCUUUCAUCAUUUUUAUUUGUUUUAUCAUUUGAGUUUUUUUAAAUACUUUAAAGGAAAAUAGAUACGGGCUAGUUAUUUUAAAAAGAAAUGACCCAAUUUUAACCUAUCGAACAUAAACAACACUCGGACUUUAUUGUUAAAUUACACAAAUUUCACAUUUAAGUGACUAUAUUACCUAAUAUCCCUUGCUUUUUAAAAUUUUACAUAAAAUUUCAAUUUUCAACUUUACUCUUGAUACAUAUUAACAAAACCUCACAUCUUAUUUUUACUCUACUAUUAACUCAUUCAAGCUAUUUUUUUUUCAAAGAUUUCCUUCCCUAAAAUAUCUUCCUAAUUAUCAACAAUUAAAUCAUCUUCUUUCCUGAUUUUUUUCUCUUCCAUUAAUGCUUAAAUCAUCUUCCUUCCUGAUUUUUUCCUCCUCCAUUAAUGCAUGCAACUUUUUUUCCUCUCCAAAAAUCUCACCCAUAUUUUUUUUAAAAAUCUAUUGUUACAUAUAUAAAUUUAUUUAGUUAUUCAUACAUGUUUAUUCUUUUAAUGGUGAUUCAUAUAAAUGAUAAACAUAAUAUCAUUAUAUGAGUAUUAGGGUGAUUCAUACGAUAGAUACAUUUUGUAUGAUUUUAACGGGUGAUACAUAUGAUAUUAAUGGGUGAUACAUAUUGUAUUAUGGUGAUUCAUAUGACAGAUACAAUUAUUUAUUUCUAUUAUUGGGUGAUUCAUACGAUAUUAAUGGGUGAUAUAUAUGGUAUUCUGGUGAUUCUAAUGGUAGAUACAAUUAUUUAUUUCAAUUAUUGGACGAUUCGUAUGUUAUUAAUGAAAGGUAAUGAUGUAGUCAGUCUAGGAAACAAAAGUAAUAAUAUUUAAAAAAAAAAGAGACUAAAAGCAUAAUUGAAACAUAAUUAAAAUUAACUCUAAAAAAACAGACUAAAGUUAACAACGAAAUUAAAGACGGGAAAAGAUAAAAAAGAUGAAAAAAAUUUAUCUUUCAUAAUUAAAGACGAAAAUAACAUCAUUAAAACACUUAAAUUAAAUCUAAAAAAGGAGAAAAAUUAGAUAUUUUUCCUUCAAUAAAAGAAUACAAUAAUCUAUUAUUUUUUUAAAUAAAUAUCUUUGUCAGUUUCAAAUGUAUUAAUUUUUUAUAUGUAUUACCUUAUAACAUAUGUAUCACCAUUUUAAAAAUCGUGAUAAAAUAUAAUUAACAAAAUAAUUAAAAUUUUAUGUAAUAUCAGUUAAAGAUUUAGAGAUUUAUGUAAGUUACCAUUCCUUUUAUUAGUCAUUUGUAUAUAUGACCCAAAUCCAGUAACUCCUAUCUUUUAAUUAGUAGCUAAAAGAAAGAAAAAUUCAACUACUUCAGUGCAAUUUUUAUUUUUUAUUAAUCUUUUCAAAAUAAGAUUUCUUUCUCUUAUUCUCUUCUUCUCUACUUUCUCAUUCGAAUAGGAUUUUCUCUACCUUCUCUACUUUCAUAUUUACGUGCAUCUUGAUCUAGUGUGAAAUUUGUGUCUAUUUUUUUCUGCAUCAUAAUCAUUAUAGAUAAUGAUUAAAUAUGUUGUAAUAAAGUUAAAGAGCAAAACUAACAUUAUUUUGAAACUGGUUGGUAAAGGGAUAAAAUUUGAUCCCAAAUUUAUUUUUAAUGAUGAUGAUAUUGUUGAAUAACCAACUCUUGGUGUUCAGUUGAAUGAUUUGAAGAAUGUUCAUCCUCCUAAAUUAUUAGAAAAGGCUGCAGAAAUACUUAGUACUCCAUCUAAUCGAGUGACUUGAUCUCAGGGUCAUUCACCGUCUGCUAUAAAAAAAUUACAUCUCAAAGUAAUACUCCUAAUCGAAUUACUAAGUCUCAAAGUAAAGUGUUUGUUGGUCCAUCAAGGCCACAACAAAAAAAAUCAUAUAAAGAAAAGAAAAAGAUAAGCGUGAAGGAUGAAGGAGGUCCUGUUGUUCCUCCCAAAAAAUCAAAAAAGAAAAAGAAUUUGAUUACAGGAUAUUGAAGUUGAUGUUUAAUCCCCGAAAAAGAAAAGAAAAAUAAUUUAUGUUCAUCUGAAGAGAAGAAUAGUCAGACCAUCUCAUUUUAAGGUACAUUGUGUAUGCCUUGUAUCUAUAUAUUCAGUAUUGUAUAUAAUUUAUGUGUUAUUAUUGUAUAGGACAGGUAUCAGUAUUGUAUGUGAAAUGUAUAGGGUUGAGAUGUAUGGGUUAUUUACUAUAUAGUAACUGUAGAGUUUUGCAAUAUAUGGUAGAAAUAUCUCAGGUCCUUAAAAAUUUCUGAAAUUUUAUCCUCACUGCCUGACUAUGACUCACCCGACGAGUUGUAGGGUGUCUUGAUGGGUCAUAUGACCCUAGUCGUAAGGUGUCCAGUGAAUGGUGCUUGAGUUGUUGUCCUGAGUAUGACUUAGGAACACGAGCCGUAAAGACCCAUGACGAGACGUUGGACUCAAAUCGUAGCCUAAACAGUGUGUGUGUGACUAAGUUUUGAUCUAAGUACUAGUGGCUCACUACGAGUAGUGAGGACUCGUUAUGGGUCAUUUUCUGCAAAUCAUAGGAUAUCAAGUGUUCACCCUAAUUGGUUUCCAUGUUGACUAUGACUGGACCCCAUAAGUAGUAGAGUCUCAUUAUGAGCCAUGGUAUACGAUUCGUAAGGUCAAUAGUGGGUAUGUCUGGUGACACUGUCUUGACAACGACUAGUUAUGAGACCCGUAACGACUAAUGGUUUAUUUUUUUAGCCUUUUAAAUGAGUGUAUUUUAGACAUUUUUCUCUUAUCCCAAUAAUACCCCACGACCUACAAACAUACUUGGAGCCCUAUUUUCAUCGACAACCCACUCCAAACAUUUUUUAUUUUCUCUCAAGUCUCUCAAGCAUCCAUAUUUAGGGUUUCCAAGAAGUAGGUCAUCCAAGGGCUCAAGGGUUGGAUUCUCUCCAUAAUCUUGGGUAUUUCAGGCAUGUUACUCUUUCCUAAUUGCUAGUUUGUUAAAAUCAUAUAUUUUAAAGUGUUGUUCAUCUGGUAGUGACGAUGGUUUUGAAGCAUGGGUUGAGGGUUUUAAAUGUUUUUUGUUUAACAAUGUUUUCCAUGGUUUACCUAUGACUAUUCAUGCAUUAAUUAUGGUUUUGAAUUUGUGAGAUGCAUGAGUAUGGCGAAUAAAUGAGAGGAUUGUGAUAUCCCCCAACUUGUGACUUUUGAAGUGGUAAUGACCUCAACCCUAUAUUGCAAAAUUGAUUUUGAAUAUGAAAAGUAUACAUAUUGAACUACUCCUGAACUAUUGCAUAACGUGAAAAUUCAAUGAAGCAUAAUGAUUUUUAAUUGAACCUUAUGGGUUGUGUAAUUCCCCAAGCUAAUGCAUAAUUGAACCAAGGGGAUAUGAAUUUUCCCAAUAAUGAAAGUGUUUCGGCAUAUUGAUGUUACCUUGCAAGUGUAGUUGGUAUGACGAUACCAACAAUGUAUGCCUAAAUGUGUAUUAUGUUUCAGUGAAUGAGAAUGUAUGAUAAAUAAUUUAAUUAGGAUGUAAUGAGGGGUGUGUAGCUGAGUCAUGAAAGUAUACAUCCCCAGGGAUCAAUACUAAAAACUGUGGUUGUCAAUGCGGGGGUCUAAAUGACUGGGUGGUUUGAGUCCCCCUUAUUAUUAUUAAUUAUCAUAUGAUCAAUAGGUUUGAAUCCCCAGUAUUGUAUUGCAUGAUUGGGUGUUUGCGUCACAUUGAUAUGCCGGGAGGUUCGAGUCCCCCAUAGUGCAUAUGUAUACCCUCUGGUUCGUACGAAUAAAUGCACUGGGGCACUACCAACUAAGGGAGAGUUGGGCCCAUAUAGCCCGUGGGUGCCUUUUUAUAUUAUGAUGGUUGAGCUACAAAAUUAAAGCUAAAGUUUUAAAGUGUGUGUUAAGCCUUAUUUCUUAUCCCAAGAUGUGAUAUAUAUAUAUAUAUAUAUAUAUAUAUAUGCAUUUGAUUAUGUACAUUUGUAACGCCCCAAUUUUCUGAACUGAAAUGCUACACGGUGCUCAUGGCCCCGAAGGACCACAAGCUAACCCAUGACUGAUAUUUGUACCUGUACACUGCAUAAUAUAUGAAUAUAAAUGUGAAAACAUGAACUGAAAGGCCAUAAGGUUUAAUACUGAACAUAAUCUGAAUAAUAACAAUGUCUGAAUAAAGUAGUACCACAAUACCAAAACAAAACUGAAUUACUGAAGUCUGAAUCUAGUCUGUAAUCUAAUCUGAAAGCCUCUAACUAUCUGAAGUGGGGGGUGGAAAGAACAUAUCUCCAACUAAAUCUCGACUAUUGAAAGCCAAACUGAAAUACUGAAGUAAUAAAGUAGUAAUCAUGUUCUCGGAGAAUGAGGACUCACUAUUAACUCUGACUGCUGAAAUCUGCAAUUGUACUGCAGCUCUAGAACUUGUGCCUCUGAACCUAUGGCAUAAAAUAAAAUACCACAGUGUGAAUAUGUCAGUACGAUUUAAUGUACUGAGUAUAUGAGUGAGGUAGGCUAAAUCCAAAGGGUUUAUGGGCAUGAACAGUGCUGACUGAUAUGAACGUGAGAAUACAUACAUUUAUAAGUAACUAUAAUUGAACUCAUGGUGAUACUGACUGCUGAGUCUGAAUGCUGACAACAUGAGUGUACUGAUACUGAGAUAAUAAAUGACUGAGUUCACUGAUAUUAAUAUGUAAGUCACUACUAAGUGAGGAACUGAUACUGCAUUACUGAAUAGAUGAACGACUAUUUCUGAUAGUUCGAAUUAUGAAGAACUGGUCUGAUUGACUGUGUCUAACAGUUCUAAAACUGAAUACUGAUAACGUGAGUUAUGAUGACUGAUAUACCUUAUAUGACUGUGAUGAUUGGCAUAACUGAUGUAACUGAUACUAAGAGACUGUAUCUGACAGUCUAAGUUCUGAUGAAACUAUCUGAGUUUUGCUCUGUAUGGAGUAACUGAAUCUGAGAUCAGUCCUAUCUAACGAGAUAUCUCUGAGUAUAAUGAUAAUAAAGAUGAUUUGACUUAGUUUGAGAUCAGUCCUACCUAGUGGGUGAUCUCUGAAUUGAUGUUACAGAUACUGAUUGACCAUAGUUGAGAUCAGUCUUGUCUAAUAGGUGAUCCCGAGGUCUACUGAUAAUGAUAAGGAUUGAUUAUAUCUGACAGUACUAAAUCUAUACUACUGAGUUGAGUUGACUGUAUCUGACAGUCCUAAAUCUGUACUACUGAGCUGAGUUGACUGUAUCUGACAGUCCUGAAUCUGUAACUAAAACUGUGGGAUGUAUUCAUCUAACUGAUAUGCCCCUUUCUAUCUAGUCUGGGGUCCAACCUGUAACCCCAGUUGGAAAGGUGUCAGUACCGCGCCACUGGUAAAGAUAACUGCUGUAGAGUAAAUCCUAAUCUAGCGGGUGACCCCUGGGAUCAGUCCUAUACAUUUAAAUGUGCUAACGGGUGAUACCUGAGUUUGUCAGUCCUAUUUAUUGGGUGACAUCUCAUACCUACGCUGGCUACAUAGUUCUGUAACUUAAGGAUUGCUUCUAGGGAUCUCAGUCAUAUUCUAGCGGGUGAGUCUCCAUUCCUAGGAUCUCUCGGUGCUGAAUCCUACUCCCAUCUGAAAGACACUGAACUGAUUAACUGAAAUGAUACUAGUAGUAUUAUUUAGCGGAGCUAAACUGAGUUUACUGAGUUCCAUUGACUGACGGAAUGUACUUGUGAUGCCCCAAAAAAUUUUUUCGUUAAUAUCUUGAACGAAAAUAUGUUGAAUUCUAUUUUUUAUCAUGAUUAGUAAUUUUUCUGUAUGGAAUUUCUGGAUAUGCAACCCUUCAUCACGUAGAGCAUCGAAUAAAAUUUCCAACGAUAUGUGGAUCAUCCAAAACGGACACUCGAGCGAUGAGUUAAGAUCAUUCCGAUCUAACCGUGAAUAGUGGUGAACAGUAAAUGUGCAGAAAAAAAUACUGAGGCCAGAUGAAUUUUAGGGUCAACUUCAAAUGAUCAUAACUCCUUGUACAUAAUGAUCUGGGUGAGUUACUAUAUAUCAACAGAAAGCUCUGAAAGUCCUCUUUCCAAUGAAAUUGGUUUCAUCCAAUUUGGCCAUCGGAGCAAAAAGUUAUGGUCGAUCUACUUCAGCCUAUCAAAAUAAUCCACCAAAGGACAGAUUUGACAUUAUUUGAUUUUUAAGGGUAUUUUGGUCAUUCNNNNNNNNNNNNNNNNNNNNNNNNNNNNNNNNNNNNNNNNNNNNNNNNNNNNNNNNNNNNNNNNNNNNNNNNNNNNNNNNNNNNNNNNNNNNNNNNNNNNNNNNNNNNNNNNNNNNNNNNNNNNNNNNNNNNNNNNNNNNNNNNNNNNNNNNNNNNNNNNNNNNNNNNNNNNNNNNNNNNNNNNNNNNNNNNNNNNNNNNNNNNNNNNNNNNNNNNNNNNNNNNNNNNNNNNNNNNNNNNNNNNNNNNNNNNNNNNNNNNNNNNNNNNNNNNNNNNNNNNNNNNNNNNNNNNNNNNNNNNNNNNNNNNNNNNNNNNNNNNNNNNNNNNNNNNNNNNNNNNNNNNNNNNNNNNNNNNNNNNNNNNNNNNNNNNNNNNNNNNNNNNNNNNNNNNNNNNNNNNNNNNNNNNNNNNNNNNNNNNNNNNNNNNNNNNNNNNNNNNNNNNNNNNNNNNNNNNNNNNNNNNNNNNNNNNNNNNNNNNNNNNNNNNNNNNNNNNNNNNNNNNNNNNNNNNNNNNNNNNNNNNNNNNNNNNNNNNNNNNNNNNNNNNNNNNNNNNNNNNNNNNNNNNNNNNNNNNNNNNNNNNNNNNNNNNNNNNNNNNNNNNNNNNNNNNNNNNNNNNNNNNNNNNNNNNNNNNNNNNNNNNNNNNNNNNNNNNNNNNNNNNNNNNNNNNNNNNNNNNNNNNNNNNNNNUCUUUAUGAUAGACCCUUGUGAUGUUGUGGUGGAUUUCCUAACGCGUUCUGAGCUUGUCGGGGAGUAGUACUUAGCACUGAGAGGGAAAUUUGGUAUUUUCCCAAACCUAUGUACCACUGUAGGGUUGUUUGAUGAUAUUAUUGGCCAGAGAGCCCGACUGUGAUUAUUGUAGUUUUAAGGUCAUACUCUCUGGCAAAGAGUAUGACGCUCCCACCAACGGGGGUUUCAAACAUUGGUAUUCAACGUAGCUCACAUGGGGUUGUCGGUUAUAGGAAACUCCCCUGUCCAUAAGAGUCAUGUUUAUUGAGAUACCGAGUCACUCCGAGUUUUGAUGUGGUAAGUCAAGUUGCCUAUGAUGAUCUAUAAUGAUUUAUGAGGUUUGUCUCCUAUAUUUCCUAUCUAAGAUGUUAUGAGUUGCAUGAUUUAAUGUCACUCAAGCCAGAUGUGUCAUUAUGGUCCGUAUGUACAUUUUUACGAAAUUUAUGAUAUUAUUUAUAUUUUGCAUGCACCCAUACAUACUCAGUACGUAUCUUGUGCUGACCCACAUAUUUCUCUAUGGGCUACAUUCUUACCAUGAUGUAGGUUCAGGCACUCAGCCGCAGCUACGACAGUGAUAUUCGAGUGCCGCAUCUACGUUUCUUCAAUGGUGAGUCCUCAUGGUUCGAGGACCAAGUUGCUAGUUUUGGUGUUGUUGUUUUGUGAUCCCUUUGGUCUGUUGGGUCAGUUGGGGGUUUGUCCCAAUGGCUUGUUGAUUUUGAUGUAUAGAGGCUAUGUCAGACUAGUGUAUUAUUGGGUUGGUUUGUGUAUAGACAUUUCAUAUAUGUACAGUCUAACGAUAUUUCGUGCCAUGUGCGAUGUGAUAUGAGAUGUACUUAUAUAUAUAUCCUUAACAUAGCGUGUAUGUUGUUGUGUUGGAACCCAAGGGUAGUGUUUUGGCUUAAGGGGUUAGCUUGAGGCUACGUGUAGCCUUGAGCACUGUGUAGCAUCUCGGGAUGAUAUUUUGGGGCAUUACAGUACUGAUGUCUGAGGAUUGACUGAGAGUACUAUAGUUACUGAGAUCUUACUUGGAAUACUGAAAUUACUGAGAUUACUGAACUACUAAGAUUUCUGAGAUUUACUGAGUCACAUGGAUGACUGAGUUCUAUGGAUCAUGGCUUGACUGAGAGUAUCGUAUAACAUGACAUGGCUCUAGGCACACAGCUAAAUUAUCGAAUACAAGUACUCCCAGGACUCGAUGGAAGGAAACUGAUAAUACUAGACAUUCUUGAAUACUUGACCAACAUCAAUAGUUCAUACUAUAAUAAUUAGGAAUAACUCAUGAGGUACUUCAUAAUCAUGAUCUUGUACAUAACAUGGAAUGCAUAUCGACACACUAGGAAUCCAUUCUCCAAUCAUCAUGUAUAUUUCAUUAACACAUAUAUUGCACAACAAUAACAUGUGAGCCCUUUGAACAUAAUAUACUAGCAUGAAUUUAUCAUAUAUUUCACCCCUAAGUUAUAAUACAUGAUUUCUAUCAUUCUAGGCAUUUUAUCAAACACCUUACAUGCACAACUUUGGGCAUAGGUGUACUUAUCAAUUUAGCAAUCUCAACCACCAAAAUUCAAGGAUUUCAACUAACAUGCUCAUAUACUUCAUGAAAAUACAUUAAGAUACUAUCUUGAAACCCAAAUAACAAUCAUCAUCAUGAACAUAAUCAUACCACAACAAGAUAAUCAAAAUUCAUGAUUUUAAAACUUGAUUCUUGAGCUCCAUGGAUGAACACUACGCAUACCUUAGAUUGUAGAUCCGUGAAAACUAGCGGUGAAAUCGACUUGAAUCUUGAAAGAGAUCUAAUGUUUCUUUAAGGUUCUUGAAGAAAUUCUUCAUCUUGUUCUUGAUUUUUCUUGACUAGGGUUUAACCCCUUUGGGAGAGAAUAUUCUUAUUCUUGAGGAGAAUGAGAAAAUAAUGGGAUAAUAGCCUUCUCAUGGCUUUAAUACCGUGUUUAGAGUGAGGGAAAAAGACCAAAAUACCCUCAUAAAAUCACCUCUCAUUUACUAAAAUUAUCAAUUGACGACCAAGGCUGAUAAAUCGUCAGAUCUGUGAUAGCUCGUCAGCCAGGUCAUCACCUGGGAGCUGGAAUUUUUGGGUUUCUGUCUAAGCCUGACGACAUGGGCUGAUAAGCCGUCAGACUUGUGAUAAGUUGUCAGCUCAUGUCGUUACUCAUUUGCCAAGAGGACAUGCCAGAGUAAAAUGGGUAUAACUUUUUGCUCCGACAUCGAAUUUAGGCAAAAUUGGUAUCGUUGAAAAUAUAAUUCAAUUAUAUAUCUGUUGGUAGGUCAUGAGCUCAAAAAUUCAUAGUAUAAUGGGAGAUAUACUCAUUUAAAGUUGACUAUAGCAAUAUCUUUUCCAAGAAUUCAAUCAGUAAGGAAUAUUUUAAUUCGUCUGAUAGCUGGGAGUUAUUUGAAGACUUAAUAUACAUCUAGCUUGGUCAUAAAACUAUAAAAUAACCAUGAUGUGCUAUGCAUGAGCUUGAAGCAUGGCGCUAAUAUUGGUUUGGAUUUUUCGAGGGUAUUACAACAUUGGAUUUGAAUGAUUAUGAAUUGUGGGUCACGUUAUUAUGUUAUCCUUAUUUUUAAGUUAUAUGCUAGUACUCAACCCACUAACCAUCUCUGAAUGUUGUAUCCCCACGCGAUGCAGGCAUCAGAGAUACCUCUACUUUUCUUGUGCAAGUUAAGUGGAUCGACUCAGUUCAUCGAUUUGUUGUGGUGAAGUGGUGAGCUUCCAUUCUUAAAAAUACUUAGACAUUUAAUCAAUUCUUAUCAUAAAUUAGGAUUGAGAGUUUUCAUUAUCAUUAUCAUUGUCAUUGUUAGAGUCAGGCACAUGUCCCAACCAAAACUAGUUUUUGGUUCUUUUUGCGUAGAGGUUUUGUUGGAUUAGUAUGAAAUUGGGUUAUGUAGGUUGGAUGUGUUUGGUCAGUUUUCGGUUAUCAGUUAUAUACAUAUCUUUUAUUGUUUGAACUAAACUUGUGCUAUCUUGUUAUCAGAAUUCAACCAUUAUUGGGCUGUGUAUGAUAGUUGGUUAGGUUUAGGGGGUGGUCUCUAGUCCACGGUGAAUUGGAGAUGCCCACCACAGCUAGACCCUGGUUCGGGUCAUGACAAAGUUGGUAUCAGAGCGUAGGUUUGGUGUCAUUGGGUGUCCACAAAGCUGUGUCAAGUAGAGGCUCUUUUAUGGAAGUGUAACACGCCACACUUAUAAUAGAGAGGCUACGAGGCAUUUAGGAAUAUUUUUAUUUAUUGUUGUUCUAUUUUUAUCUAUAGAGUCUAAGGUUUUGAAAUCUCCUCUAAUCCUUGUAUGUUCUCUUUUCAUAUCAUGACUCCCAGAAGAUCUGAUGCUCGUGGAAACUCUUAUGUCCCAUAUAAGGACAAUAUGGACAAAACUCAUCCUGCUCAAGGAGUUCAGACUCGGUCUAGGGUCGCUACUUCUGAAUGCUCUAGUGGAGUCCCACCGGUUCCUCCUAUCCCUCUUUGAACACCUCAAGUUGAUGUGUCUAAUAUAGAGUUUUAUUAGUCGAUUCAUUUGCUUACCCAGUUGGUGGCGUCCUAGACUAAGAGUGUUGCUUUUGUUGUUCCAUCCUCUGAGGCCGCUAGAUUUGGCCAAUUUAUGAGAUUAGGCCCUCCAACUUGCACUGGUUCUAAAGUUGAGAAAGAUCCUCAAAAUUUUAUUGAUGAGAUGGAAAAGAUUUUUUAUAUGAUGCAUGUUAUUGAUUUGGAGGGUGUGGAGUUCGCUGCCUAUCAGCUGAAGGAUAUGACGUACCAGCGGUAUGAGAAAUAAGAUCAUUCUAGGGGUGAUGAUAUUGAGUCUGCUUUGUGGGAUGACUUCUCUAGUGCUUUUCUUGAUCACUUCUUUCUUAGGAGUUAAGGGAGGUAAAGAAUGAGGAAUUCAUGAACUUAAACUAACACAGGAUGAUGAUAAAAGAGUAUGUCUUAAAGUUUCAUCAGCUACCGCGAUAUGCUCAAGAAUUUAUGUCUAGCAUGCAGGAUAGAAUGAGGAAGUUCAUUUUUGGGUUAUCCCAUGAGUUAAUUUUGAAGAUUAAGGUUGCCUUGUUAAACAAGGAUAUAGAUAUCUCUAGACUUGUGGAGUAUAUGCAACAAGUGAAAGCUGAAAAAAUGAAGCAAGCAAAGAUGAGUGAAAGGCAAAAUAAGAAGUUUUAGUAUUCAAAUCAAGGUGGAGGCCAGCAGCAAUGUGGUAGAUACGGUAGAAAAUUUCUAAGAAUAAGUAGGAAAAUUUUAGUUCCUACUCAAUGCUAGUGCUCCUUAUCCAAAGUCAUCGUGUGAUCGUCGUUUUAAGAAUAAUGUUGGUUCCAGAGCGCAGGGUCCCCAGCCACGGGCUAGUGAGGCUCAGUCAGCUCUAUCAUAUCCUCUUUGUAUAUUUUAUGGUCAGGUACAUCAUGGUGUUUGGGAAGAGGGAAGGAACAAGUGCUUUCAAUAUGGUCAGAUUGGUUAUAUGCAGAGGGGGUUGUCCUUCCAGGGUUUCUUCUAGGGAAAAUAAGAUCCUUGUUGCUAUUUCGUCAGCUCUAGAACCAAAGAGUGCUACUUCUGCUUAUGGCUCCGGCACUAGUCGGAACUAUCUGUACGCUUUUUCUACUCGCCAGGAUUUUGAGGCAUCCCCCAAUGUUAUUACUGCUACGCUCAAACUUUUCUCUUGUGAUGUGUAGUUUCUACUUGACCUUGGAUCUACCCUCUCUUAUGUGACCCCUUAUGUGACUAUUCAUUUUGAUUUUGAUCCUGAGUGUAUUUUAGAUCAUUUUUCUAUGUCCACUCCGGUAGGUGACUUUAUUAUGGAUAGAAAAUCCUAUAAAGAUUGUGUGAUGUCUGUUAGUGGUAGGGAGACAUUGGUAGAUCUGAUAGAGUUGUACAUGUUAGACUUUGAUGUGAUUUUGGGGAUGAAUUAGUUGCAUUCGUGCUAUGCAUCACUUGAUUGUUGGACUCAAAGGGUCAGUUCUCACUUUUUUUACGAGCCAAUGAUUGAAUGGCAAGGUAGUUCCUUAGUACCUAAGGAAAGGUACGUUUCGUAUCUUAGAGCCCAAAAGUUAAUUUCUAAGGGGUGUCUCUAUUACUUAGUACAUGUUAAGGAUUCUAGGCCAGAAGGUCCUUAUUGCAAUCUGUCCCUGUGGUCUGUAAGUUUUCUAAGGUAUUCCUUGAUGAUCUUCCUGGUGUUUCUCCCGAUAGGAAAAUUGAUUAGGGAUUGAUAUUUUUCCGAACACUUAUCCUAUUUUUAUCUCUCCCUAUAGAAUAGCUUCGGCUAAGUUGAAAGAACUCAAGAAGCAGUUGAAAGAUCUUCUAGAUAAUGGUUUUAUUCGACCUAGUGUUUCUCCUUGAGGUGCUAUGAUUUUCUUUAUGCGUAAGAAGGAUGAGUUCCUUUGGAUGUGUAUAGAUUACUGCCAGUUGAAUAAGGUGAUGGUGAAUAAUAAGUAUCCGCUUUCUAGGACCAAUAAUCUCUUCGAUCAGCUUCAGGGUGCUAAGCAUUUUUCCAAGAUUGAUGUUCGAUCGGAGUUACAAUCAAUUGAAGAUUUGGAAAUUAGAUAUCCCUAAGACUGCCUUUCAAACUCGAUAUGGUCAUUUUGAGUUUUUGGUGAUGCCAUUUGAUUUGACUAAUGCCCCAGCAACAUUUAUGGACCUCAUGAAUCGAGUAUUUCAUCAGUUCUUGGAUUUAUUCAUAAUUGUAUUUAUUGAUGAUAUUUUGUUGUAUUCUAAGAGUGAGGCGGAUUAGUUUGAUCACCUGUGCCUUGUGUUGCAAACCUUAAAAGAUCAGCGGUUGCAUGCAAAAGUCAUGAAGUGUGAGUUCUGGUGUGAUGUUAUGACCUAUCUAGGUCAUGUUGUUUCUAGUGACGGGAUCAUGGUGGAUCCACAAAAAGUUGUGGUGGUGAAGAAAUGUCCUAGAUCCACGACUACAAUUGACAUUUGGAGCUUCUUGGAUUUAGCCGGUUAUUAUAAAAGGUUUGUGGAAAGUUUCUCUUCUAUUGUUACCCCAUUGACUAAGUUGACUCAGAAGAAGGUGAAGUUUUGGUAGUCUGAUACUUCUGAGGGUAAUUUAAAAAAUUUGAAGGAUAAGUUGAAUUUGGCUCUGAUUUUGACUCUACGUGAUGGUACUGAUGGUUUUGUUGUCUAAUAUGAUAUAUCCCGAAUGGGAUUGAGUUGUGUAUUGAUGUUUCAUGGUAAGGUGGUUGCAUAUGCUUCUAGGAAGUCAAAGGUUCAUGAGAUUUAGCUCCUUUGGAGUCCAUGUUGAUAUUUAUUCUGAUCAUAAGAGCCUACAAUACUUAUUCACUUAAAAGGAGCUAAAUCUCAGGCAAAAGAGUUGGAUUGAGUUGCUAAAGGACUAUGACAAGACUCUUCACUAUCGCCCAAGUAAAGCUAAUGUCGUUAUUGAUGCUCUUAGAAGGUUGUCCAUGGGGAACUUAUCUCAUGUAGACAAGGAGAAGUGGGAUUUGGUGACGGACACUCACCGUCUGGCUAAUCUUAAAGUCUGUCUCAUGGAUUUCGAAGAUGGUGGUAGAUUUUUCAAGAGGUGGCAAAGUUAUCUUUUGGUGUGGAGAUGAAUGAGAAGCAGAUUUUAGAUCUUAUCUUAAUGCAGAUCAAGGAUGAGGGGGUCAUAGAACGUGAUGAAUUUUGAGAUUGGUGGUGAUGGUAUCGUAAGAUACCAAGGUAGAUUAUGUGUUCCCAAUGUUAAUGGGUUGCGAGGAAGAAUUUUGGCAGAGGCUCAUAAGUUGCAUUAUACGUUCAUCCUAGUUCAUCAAAAAUGUAUAAUGAUCUUAAGGAGAUUUAUUGGUGGAAUAAUAUGAAGCGGUAUGUAGCUAAUUUUGUGGCUAAGUGCAUGGUGUUUCAGCAAGUGAAAGUGGAGCACUUGAGGCCUGGUGGACUGUUCCAAGAAAUUGAGUUGCCUGUGUGGAAAUGGAAAGUAAUUAACAUGGAUUAUGUUAUUGGUCUUCCGCGGUCUUGAAAUUGGUUUGAUUCUAUUUGGGUCAUCGUAGAGAGGAUGACUAAGUUUGCUUACUUCUUGCCAGUAAGGACUAAUUUCUCUUUGAGGAUCAUGCCAAGUUGUUCAUUGAAGAGAUUGUGAAGUUGCAUAAUGCUCUAGUUUCCAUCAUAUCUGAUUGAGGUACUCAAUUCUCUUCUUACUUUUGGCAUUUCUUUCAGAGAGGUUUGGGAACUAAGGUGAGCCUUAGUACCGCUUUCCACUUACAAGAAGAUAGGCAAGCAUAGAGGGUCAUUCAAACAUUGAAGGAUAUGCUCAGAUCUUGUGUGAUUGACUAUGGUGGUAGUUGGAUUGACCACUUGUUUCUCAUAGAAUUUACCUACAACAAUAGUUAUCACUCUAGCAUUGGUAUGGCUACGUUUGAGGCUUUGUAUGGUAGGAGGUGUAGGUCUCCUAUUGGGUGGUUUGAGGUUGGUGAAAUUAUGUUAUUCGACCCUGAUUUGAUUCACCAAGCUGUGGAGAAGGUGAAGGUGAUUCGAGAUAGGCUUAAGACCACCCAAAGUCACUAAAAGUCCUACGCAGAUGUGAGACAGAGGGAGUUGGAGUUUAAUGUUGGUGGUUGGGUGUUCUUAAAGGUUUCUUCCAUGAAGGGCGUGAUGCAGUUUGGGAAGAAAGAAAAGAUCAGUCACCAUUAUGUUGAUCCAUAUUUGGUAUUGAAGAGGGUUGAAAAUAUUGCAUAUGAAUAGAAAUUGCCUUCUAGUUUGAGCUGCAUUCAUCUGGUCUUCCAUGUCACGAUGUUAAGGAAGUGCAUGGGUGAUCCUUUGUUGGUUGUUCCUUUGGAAGGUGUGGUCAUUUCGAAUUCCUUGUCUUAUAAGGAAGUUUUGGUGGAGAUCUUAGAUCGACAAGUUCGUCGAUUGCGGACGAAGGACGUGGCUUCAGUAAAGGUUCUUUGGACAAACAAAAAAUUUAAGGAAGCUACCUGGGAAGCUGGGGAGGACAUAAAGUCCAAGUAUCCGUUCUUAUUCCCUAUUCUGGUAAAUCAUUCUUAAGGUACGUGUGAUCUUAGCAUCUUUGUUUUCUGACUUUGUUAAAGGAAAUUGGGAAUUCCUUAAUUUCUUUGUUUUUGUCUUUAUUAAAGGUAAGUGUGAUUGUGUUUGGGGUUAAAUCGUAUAAAUAAUUUCCUUAACCCAUCAUUCGAAGGCGAAUGAUCCUAAGGGGGGAGAACUAAACAUCCCAGGUGUUGGUCCUUAAAAAUUUUUGAAAUUUUAUCCUCACUUCCCUGACUAUGACUCACCCUAUGAGUUGUAGGGUGUCUUGAUGAGUCAUAUGACCCUAGUCGUAAGGUGUCCAGUGAAUGGUUCUUGAGUUAUUGUCCUGAGUAUGACUUAGGUACACGAGCCGUAAAGACCCAUAACGAGCUGUUGGACUCAAAUCGUAACCUAACCAGAGUGUGUGUAGCUAAGUUCUUCUCUUAGUACGAGUGACUCACUAUGAGUGGUGAGGACUCGCUAUGAGUCAUUUUGUGCAAAUCGUAGGAUGUCAAGUGUUCACCCCAAUUGGUUUUUGUGUUGACUACUACUGAACACCAUGAGUCAUAGAGUCCCAUUACAAGUCAUGGUAUACGAGUCGUAAGAUCAACAAUGGGUAUGCCUGGUGACACUAUCCUGACAAUGACUAAUGAAGUCUAGUCGUAAUGAAUUGUGAUGAGUCAUUAUGAGACCUAUAAUGGCUGAAUGUUUAUUUUUUUAGCUUUUUAAAUGGGGGGUAUUUUAGAUAUUUUUCUUUUAUCCUAAUAAUAACCCCGAACUAUAAACAUACUUGGGGCCCUAUUUUCAUCGAUAACCCACUCCAAAUAUUCUUUCUUCUCUCUCAAGUCUCUCAAGCAUGCAUACUUAGGGUUUCCAAGAAGUAGGUCAUCCAAGGGCUCAAGGGUUGGUUCUCUCCAUAAUUUUGGAUAUUUCAGGCAUGUUAUUAUUCCCUAAUUGCUAAUUUGUUAAAAUCAUAUGUUUUAAAGUGUUGCUCAUAUGGUAUUGAUGAUGGUUUUGAAACAUGCGUUGAGGGUUUUAAAUGUUUGUUAAGGAAUAAUAUUUUUCAUGGUUUACCUAUGACUAUUCAUGCUUUAAUUAUGGUUUUAAAAUUGUUUAAUGCAUGGGUAUGGUGAAUAAAUGGGGGGAUUGUGAUGUCAUCCAACUUGUGACUUUUAAAGUGGUAAUGACCUUAACCCCAUAAUGCAAAAUUGGUUUUGGAUAUAAAAAGUAUGCAUAUUGAACUAAUCUUGAACUAUUGCAUAGUCUGAAAAGUCAAUGAAGCAUAAUGAUUUUUAAUUGAACUAUAUGGGGUUGUGUAAUUCCAUAAGCUAAUGCAUAUUUGAACCAAGGGGCUAUGGAUUUCCCCAAAUAAUGAAAGUGUUUCUACAUGUUGAUGUUACCUUACAAGUGUAGUUGGUAUGACGAUACCAAUAAUGUAUGCCUAAAUGUGUAUCAUGUUUUAAUGAAUAAGAAUUUGUGAUAAAUGGUUUAAUUGGGAUUUAAUAAGGGGUGUGUAUCUGUGUCGUGAAAUUAGAGGUCCCGAGGGACCAAUACUGGAAAUCGCGGUUGCCGAUGCGGGGGUCUAAAUGACCGAGUGGUUUGAGUCUCCCUUAUUAUUAUAAUAUGAUCAGCAGGUUUGAGUCUCCUAUAUUAUAUUACAUGAUUGGGUGUUUGUGUCACCUUGAUAUGCCGGGAGAUUCGAGUUCCCCAUAGUGCAUGUGUAUACCCUCUGGUUCGUGCGGCCACACGCACUGGGGCCUUACUAGCUGGGGUAGAUCUGGGCCCAAUCCAGGCUAAAGUUUUAAAGUGUAUGUUAAGCCUUUUCCCUAUCCCGAGAUGUGAUACAUACAUAUGUAUAUACAUUUGAUUAUGUGUAUUAAAUUUGAAUGAUAUUGAACUGUGGACCACGGCAUUAUGUUAUCCUUAUUCCUGAGUUAUAUGCUAGUGCUCAACCCACUAAUCAUUUUUGAACGUUGUAUUUCAAAGCGAUUGAGGCGUCGGAGAUACCUCUACUUUUCCUGUGCAGAGUUAGGUGGAUCGACUCGGUUUGUCAUUUCGUUGUGGUGAAGUGCUAUUCGAAAGACUUAGAUAUUUCAUCAGUUCUUAUCAUAGAUUAAGAUUGAGAGUUUUCAUUAUCAUUAUCAUUAUCAUUAUCAUUAUCAUUGUUAUUGUCUGAGUUAGAGACAUGUCCCGACUAAGCCUAUUUUUUAGUUCUUUUUGCAUAGAGGCUUUGUUAGAUAACUGGGCACUUGGGGAUGUUGGUUGGAUGUGUUUGAUCGGUUAUUUAUUAUCGGUUAUAUACAUAUCUUUUAUUUUUUGAACUUAACUUGUGUUAUCUUGUUAUAAGUUUGGAAUUCAGUCAUUGUUGGGCGGUGUAUGGUGUUUGGUUAGGUUCACGGUGUGGUCUUUGGUCCACAGUGGAUUGGAGAAGCCUCUCACAGUCAGAACCUAGUUCGGAUCAUGACAAUGGGUUUAUUACUAAACGUGCAUCGGGAUUGUAUAGAUGAUGUAUAUAGUCGAAGUAUAUGUAUGUUAUUAUAUAGAUUUUAUAACAGUUUUGUAUGAAUAUUAUAUGUAGUUUUUGAUAUAAUUAGAACUUACAAGUUCACCUAUUCGUUUCAGAUUUGGGAUUUGUAUGUUGGUUCGACUAAUCAUUACAAGUGUCAGCUCAGUGUGCACACAAACUGGGCUAUUAUAACUGUCUCGAAAACUAACUUAGAUAAGAAGCAACUUGCUUUGUUUAAGAAUAGUUACUUAGGGUACUUCUUACUCGUGCUGAGUGUUUUCAUUCAAAAUCAACAUAUUCAUGGGAUGUUGCCUAGGGGACUUGUUUAUGAGAUAGAUGAUGAAAUAUGGAUUAAAGUGCAGAACAUUAAGUAACGCUUUGGAUUACAAGAGUUUAUUUUAAUUAGUGGUUUAAACUGAAUUGAAAAUUUCAAUAAUCAGUUUGAUCUUAAUCAAACAAGGAAUCUGAUGGAGUUUUACUUUUCAGGAAAGUCCAAGGUUACAAAGCUUGAUUUAUAAAAGUAUUUUAUGAAAAUCAAAUGGUGAUGUGGUGAAGAUGUAUUAAAAAUUGUAAUUUUGUUCUUCAUUUAUACCUUUAUUUUUUCUAUCAUGUAUGGUAAUGUUGUAACAAAGAAUAAUUUACUACUGAUUGAAUAUGAGAAUUAUGAAACAUUUUCUUGAAAAAAAUUAUAUUUUCGUCUGAUGUUGGAGUCAAUGAAGUCUAAGAUUUAUUAGAGAAAAAUUAUAUGGUUGUGGUGGUUUUUCCUUAGCAUUUCAGUGGUGCUUUUAUGAGUUUUGCUGAUAUCCCGAUGGCCAUCUUGCUAUUUUGUUGAUCGAGUUGGCGAUAGUGUGUCAUGUAUACUGAAUUGAUCUGUAAAGCAUAGACCAAACUACAAGAAUGUUAAGUCUACAUUUUUUUUAUAUACAACAAGAGCAGGUACAUGAUUAUUUUAAAACUUAUUGUAUAGCUGUUUGUGAAAUGCUUAUGUACUUUUUAAUGUAAACAUAUUUUUUGAGUGUUAUUUUGUAUAUGCAAGUAGUGUUGACUAACAUUAUGCCAUUGAUUUAAAAAAUUGAUACUUCAAUUUCCUAAUUUCGUACUUGUAGUUAUGAUCAUGAAAUCUGGUGAUUUGCUUGAUAUUAGUAAAUAAUGAUGUAGUCAUUUGAUUUCUAAUGAUGAUUUGACACUUCUUAGAAGUUAUUUUAAUUUGGUAUGUGCAGCGUUUCAUUAGUACUUAUAUUUUUCUUAAUUAAUGUUUUGACUUUUUCUAUUUAUGUCUAGCUGACGAAAAAGAUUUUCUUGAUGGAGAAGUUUAUGAAAUACUCGUUUAAAUUAAUUUUUCGAGCUUUACAUAUAAAGAAUGAUUCUAAGGUUUUUUUUUCUAUUUUCCUAAAUAAAGCUUAUAUAUCCUAUUGUAAUUAUUUUUUAUAAUUUUUUUGAAUAAUUUGAUACACGAGCUGAUAAUAACAAUGGCGACAUUUAAAGAAAAAAAAUAAUGAUUCACUUAAUGAGGGUGGUAUAAGUUAUGAUCGAAUUGGUGAUGUGGGACAACAAAAUAUUGUUACACUUGAAGUGGAUCAUAUAAGUUAUAAUCUGAUGAAUGAUGUAGGACAAAAAAUAGAUUUUGUAGGUGAUGGUGUAUUUGAUCAUUUGGUGGAUGGCGUUGGAGACAAAGUUGAUUUUGUAAGUGAUCGUGUAGUUGGUCAUGUUGAUGUUGAGUCUAUGGAUGAAAUUUUAAGGAUGGUGACCAAUUUUUUUUUUCAAAUUUUGAUUUUCUGAAGUUCACACAAAGCUCAAGUGAAAAUAAGGUUAUGGAGGAAGGUAAAAAUAGUCAGGUUGAUAGUGAUUGAUCAAAUUUUACUGAUUCUAAAGUGUUCAAAAUUACUCAACCCUUUCAUGAUAAAAAAUAAAAAAUGAAGAUGAUGUGGCGGUGUUUAGCCAAAAUGACCUUGAUUGAUCAAGAAUUUAGUUAUUAAAAUUUUUAAGUUCACUCAACCUGAUAAGAGUGUAGCAAUGAUGGAUGCAAUUAUUAUAGUAGGUGAUGAUCUUAGAAAUGUUGAUAGAAAUAUAAGUCAUAAUAAAGGGAUUGAGAAAAAGAUGGUAGAUACUUUUUUUGUUAUGUUGGAUGAAACACCUAUUAUUCCUCAUUGAUUACGGAAGCCAGCAAUUGUACGUGAAUCGUCAUUUUUGUCAAAAUUUGAUUCUAGUGAAAGCAAUGUUGAAAGUCAACCAUCUAAGUAUAUAGAGAAUGCUUAACCAAGUAAACGUCCUUUGUCGAUAAAACAUCUUUUUUGUGAAGAGUAUUGUAGAGGAAAUUGAAAAUAUGAAAGUGACAUUAUGAUUUAACAAGUUUAUUGGCAGACCGUUACUCAUUAAACAAAUGUAAGUUUUCUGCUUGAAGUUUCUUUUACAAUUAUUUUCUUUCUUCAUAAAUUACACCUUUUGUAUCAUUUUUACAGAUUUUUUAAUUCAAAUUGUAUGAAUGCUCUCCCAAAACAGUUUGACUAUGGAGUUGAUACGGUUAAAAAUAAAAGAAUGGUAUAUCAUAUUGGAAUAUCAAGAAAUAUCCUUCACCGAUUUAGUGAGUAUGAAUUUUCUAGCUAAAUAGGUGGCAGGUAUGUAAUUUUUGAAAUGUAUAGUAUAUGUAUAUAAUUUUUACUUUGGUAUUUGAAAGUGAUAAAGUAAUUGAUAUAAUGAUUUUUGUAUAUGAUAUAUGUUUUAUGUUUAGUUCAUAAUUAUUAGAUUUUAGUUAGUGUCUGAUAUUCAUUUUUAGUAUUUUAAUGUGUUUUUAUUCUUCAUAUUUUCAACAUUUGAUGUUAUCUUUUACUAUUUUCGAAAGAAGUCAAUAUUUGAGCCUGUUGAUGGUUCAGUUAAAUUCACAACCACCAACUAUUGGUUUAAUUGCUCAACUCAGACUUUGUAUAAGAGAUUUUUGGAGAACAAUAGAGAUGCGACACUUUUCACUCAAAAACAUCAAAUUGUGGAGUACAUUCUUGAAUUUUUUAUGCGAAGGGACGUCUCCUAGCAUAACGUUGGCAAUAUUUUUUUCAAUCAGUUUUGCUGAGGACUUUCACUGGAUCUUGGUGAGGUUGUGUUUUUAAAAAUCAGUGUAUAUAUGUGUAUGAUUCAACACAUUGUUCACGAUACGCAGUUCGUGUUUAGAAAUCAGUUGCAGCAUAUUCGGAGUUAAUUUCACAUUUUCUUUCUAGUAUUGAAUUUUGAAAUAGUAGAAGUGAUGGACUUUCAAUAGCUAAUUCUUUUAAUAUUCGCAUUGUUGAUGGACUACCAACUCAAGCCGAUACGUAAUAUAUUGAAUGCACAUUCAAUUGCUCAUUCUUAAUUUUUUGGCCAAUUAUACUAACGUUGUAAUAUGUUGCUGGAACUUAAGUAUCGUUCUCACUGUGUUUGUUGAGUAUUUGUUUGACGGUCUUAAAAUUUUUAAUCGUCUCUAUAAUAUUGUGUUAUUCGAAUUCGGUAUGGUGUCUUAUUGUGGGAUUGUGAAAAGAUGAAACAAAUGCAAUGCACAAUUAGUGAUGAUUAGUCUACUAAUCGAUUGUUGAGAAUAAACGAUGGUGCGGGGUAAAUUUAGUUAGAAAUGUCUUGUAGACGUAGAUGUGACAUAUAUGUAAAGUGGCACGUACGUUGAAAUGCUUAAUGUUAUUUUUGUUUUUGUGUUGAUUCACUUUGUGAAGAUUUUUGUGGUGGAAUCUUAUGCUGAAUAUUAUAUGUUUUGGCACUUGAUAUAACAAGUGACUUUUAAUUCUUAAGAAAAGACAAUACUAAUGCAACUGUUAGUUUAUUUUGAUCACUUUCUUUAUAGAUAAUAAUCUGUUAUUUUAAGCUAUUAGUUUAUUUUAGUUCAGUAUAUAUGUUGAUAUAGGUUCAUACGUAUACUCAAACCAUACACGGGUCCUAUAUAUGAUUGACACUGCUUUUAUAUCUGUGCAGUAUAUAUGUUGAUGUAUGAAGUUCAUACAUGUAUCCAAACUAUAUGUAGGCCCUAUACAUGAUUGACACAAGUGCAAUACAGUAAUUGUUAGGAAUCGGACAGAAAUAAAGCAAACAACAGGCAGAAAGAAAACAAAAACACAUAGAUUUAUAUGAAAACCCUUGCAGAAAAAACCAUGGACAAAGACAGGGGAUGUUUUACCAUAAUGAAAGGAGAGGAGUACAAUAUGGAGAAUGAGUAUUUUCUGGAUACACAAAACAAACCACUAAAUGUACUUAUAUAAUAUGUGCAUACAAAUAAGUCCUAGGCCCAAAAAACAUAAAGGUCCUCGGGCCUAUCGGCCUGAUCCCUACGCUACCACCCCAAAUCCCAUUGAAAAUCACAAACAUGGGUUGCACCGCAAAACUUUCUAGGCCGGAUCAAUAAAAUUUGGAUCACAACUCUAACAAUCUCCACCUUGACAUGAAUUCUAAUUUGGAACUCAAAUCCAUUUCAAGACAAACUUUCCACCUCUUUCACAAAAGCCCCUAAGGGCACAUCUUAACAGCUAACACUAACCAAGUCCAAGCAAUGCUCAAACUUGGCACUUGAUAGUGUCUUGGUCAUCAUAUCAGUAGAAUUAUCGUGAGUACUAAUCUUGCUCACCACAAUAUCACUACGAGCUAUAAUUUCACGCAUAAAAUAAUACCGAACAUCGAUGUGUUUUGUCCUCUCGUGAAAUAUCUAAUCUUUCGUAAGGAAGAUAGCACUCUGACUGUCGCAAAAAACCGUAGUAAUCUGUAAGUAUUUGUUGAGUUCACCAAACAGACCCUUCAACCAAAUAUCUUCCUUGAAAGCCUCUAUAAUAGCUAUACACUCUGCCUCAGUAGUUGACAAAGCAACCGUAGUCUGUAAGGUAGCUUUCCAAAUAAUAGCACAACUACCAAUGGUAAAACAUAGUCUAUAAGGGAUCUCCUUGUAUCAUGAUCUCCUGCAAAAUCAGAAUCAACAUACCCGAUUACUCUAUCUCUAUUUCUCCCAAACUGUAAACAAACAGCAGGAGAUCUAUGCAAGUAUCUGAAAAUCCACUGAACUGCUUUCCAAUGUUCUUUGCCAGGAUUUUCCAUGUAUCUUUUAACUGCGCUGAUGACAUAAGAUAAAUCUAGUUAGGAACACACCAUCGCAUACAUAAGAGACCCAACAGCACUAGAGUAUGGAACUCGAGACAUAUAGUCACGCUCAUCAUCUAUAUUUAGACAUAAAGUGGCCGAGAGUUUGAAGUGAAUUGCAAUGGAGUACUUAUAGGUUUGGCAUUUUGCAUAUUGAACUUGUGAAGCACUUUUUCAAUAUAUCCUUUCUGACUCAAGUACAACUUAUAAUUCUUUCUAUCCCUCAGAAUCUCCAUGCCAAGAAUCUUCUUUGCUACACCUAGAUCCUUCAUAUCAAACUCUUUACUGAACUGGGCUUUGAAUUUUACUAUCUCUCUCAUAUCCUUUAUUGCGAUUAAUAUAUUAUCAAAAUACAAGAGAAGAUACACGAAUGAACCAUCACUUACCUCCUUGAAGUAGACACAACUAUCAAGUUUCUCCUCUGAAACAUAUGAGAGGUCAUAAAAGAGUCAAACCUCUUAUACCACUGCCUGGGCGACUGCUUUAAGCCAUAAAGAGACUUUUUCAACAAGUAUACAGAGUCCCCCUUUCGUGAGACUACAAAGCCCUCUAGUUGCUGCAUAUAGAUGUCCUCCUCAAGUUCUCCAUGUAAGAAUGCACUUUUGACAUCCAACUACUUAAGCUCAAGAUUAUGCAUGGCCAUAAUACCAAGCAAUGCUCGAAUCAAACUAUACUUUACAACUGGAGAAAACACAUCUGUGAAGUCGAUACGUGGAACCUGACUAUAACCUUUAGCAACUAGUCUUUCUUUGUACCUAGCAUCUUCAACUCUCGAUGUUCCUUCUUUAUUUUGAAUACCCACUUGCAACUGAUAGCUUUUUUAUCUUUAGACAAUCUCACCAGAUCCCAUGUGCUAUUCUUAUAAAGUGAUUCCAUCUUCUCCUACAUAGCAAUCAUUCAUUGGCCGGAAUCAUCAUAACUAACUACCUAUGAGUAAGAAGAAUGAUCUUCACCGGAAUUAAUACCUUCUGCUACACUCAAUGCAUAAGCAACCAAAUCACUUUCAACAUACUUUUGAAGAGGUCUAAUAUCUAUUUUAGGCCUAUCUUUAGCAAUAGAAUAUUUUGGCACUACUGGUGGUGAAUAAGAAAUAGUAUCACUCUAUAUCUCCAGGAUAUAUUGAGAAGUAGGCACUGGUGUAGACUCUGCUCUAAUCUGCAAUUCAGCAUGGGUUCUUGACUUUUGUUGAUUCAUGUCAUAGCUCAUCUGGGGGCGAAGAACUAUAUUCAGAGAGAGCCCAAAGCAUGGCAGUUUCAUCAAACACAACAUCUCUACUAAUUAUAACCUUUCUUCUUUUUGGACACCAGAUCUUAUAACCUUUAACACCGGGCUUAUAAAAUAAGAACUUGAUAGAUUUAGGUUCCAACUUUUCAUUAUCAACAUGAGCAUACGUAGGACAUCCAAAUAUCCUCAAAUCAGAAUAACUAGUAGAAGUACCAAACCAUACCUUUUGUGAAGUAUUUCUAUCAAUAGCGACUGAGGGAGAGCGAUUAAUAAGAAGGCAAGCUGUGGAAGCAGCUUCAGUCCAAAAAGACGGGUAAACCAGCAUUAGAGAGCAUAGAACAUACCUUCUUGAUUAUAGUUCUAUUCAUUCGUUCGGCCACAUCAUUCUGCUAUGGAGUAUGACGAUUGUCAAGUGCCUCAUAAUUCCUUCUGACUUACACAUAGCAUUAAAUUCAUUAGAACAAAACUCUAAACCAUUAUUGGCUCGGAGGCAUUUUACCUGCUUCUCUAUAUGAUUUUUAAUCAUAGUCUUUCACUCCUUGAAAGUAGGCAACACAUUAUUCUUUUGCUUUAAAAAUAACACCCAAACUUUUCUAGAAUAGUCAUCAAUAAUAGACAACAAGUAAUUAGCACCUCCUUACUCUAGCAGGACCCCAGAGAUCAAAAUGAAUGUAAUCAAGUGUGCCCUUAGUUGAGUGGAUGUCUUUAGUGAAUCUGACUCUCAUCUGCUUCCCAAAAAUGUAGUGCUCACAGAACUCUAAUUUGGUAAUACUAUGACAUUCAAAAAGUUCUCCCCUGCUUAGUUCAGCCAUCCUGUUUCACUCAUAUGCCUUGGGUGCAUAUGCUAAAGUUUAGAAAUAUCACUUUCUGAUAGAGAGGAAGUAAAAACAACUACAUCACCUAUAACAGUAGAGCCUUGCAGGAUAUACAAAUUUGCAGACUUUCUCUAUCCCUUCAUCACAACAAGAGCACCUUUAGUAACUUUCAGGACCCUACCUUCACCAGUGUACCUAUAAUCGUUCAAAUCAAUAGUACUUAAGGAAAUAAGGUUUCUCUUCAGGUCUGGGACAUACCGCACAUCACCAAGUGUCCUCACAACCCCAUCAAACAUCUUGAUCCUGAUUGUUCUAAUACCAGCUAUCUUACAAUAUGUGUUAUUUCUUAUCAACACAAUACCUUGAGAGACUGUUUCAUAUGUUGUAAACCAAUCUCGAUUACAACACAUGUGAAACGUGCAAGAUGAAUCAAGAUUCUAAUCCUCACAGGGUUUAGAGUUACCAUAAAAAACUACCAAGAGUUCUCCACCACUACCGCCAUCUACCAUAAAACUAGCUUCAUCGGACUUCUCUAGUUGGUUUUCUUAGGUUUUCGAGCUUCUUUUUUCUCUCUAUUCUGUAGCUUCCAACACUCAGAUUUGAUAUGGCCUUUUUUUCGUAGUAAUUACGGGUUUUGUUUCUAUUUCUGGAUUUGGACCUAUUCCUGUCAUCACCACCAGAUCCUCUCACGAGUUCUUCUUCCUCAAACAAUGAGACUAUCUCAUUGAGUCUCUGACCCAUUCAUAAGAUGCUUUAUUUUCUUCUUAGAGAACAACGCAUCAUAGACUUCAUCAAUUGCCAGGGUAUCAUGACUAUAUAAAAUUGUAUCCCUAAAGGUCGUGUAUGAUGCAGGAAACGAACACAACAAAAUUAACUCUAGAUCUUCCUCAUCGUACUUAACCACUAGAGUCUCUAAAUCAGAGAUGAUUUUCUUAAAUACAAAUAGGUGAUCCUUCAAGGAUGAACCCUCAGACAUGCGAUGGGAAUAAAGUUUUUGCUUGAGAUGCAACUUACUUGUUAGGCUCUUCGUCACACACAGGGAUUCCAAUUUCAACCACAACACAGCAGUUGUGGUCUCCUUCAAAAUAUUUUGUAGAAUCUGAUUGAAUAAAUGAAGGUAAGUCUGAGAUAGAGCUUUUCGAUCCUUAUGUCAUUUGUCCUCGUCCAUCCACUAUGAGGGCAUCUUUUCAAACCCUAAUAAAGCAUCGUUCAAAUCCAUCUGUGUUAGCACAGCCCGCAUUUUAACCUACCAUAGCAAAAAUCUGGUGUUGCGAUCCAACAACGAAAUAUCAUACUUCAUGGUUGCCAUCUCUGAGAAAACAAUCAAAUAGUAUUUGAUACCAAUUUGUUAGGAAUCGGGCAGAAAUAAAGCAAACCACAAGCAGAAAGAAAACAAGAACAGGCACAUUUAUGUGAAAACCCUUGCGGGAAAAACCAUGGGCAUAGGCAGAAGAUAUUUUACUAUAGUGAAAAGAAAGGAAUACAAUGUGGAGAAUGAGUAUUUUCUGGAUACACAAAACAACCCACUAAAUGCACUUAUAUAAUAUGUGCAUACAAAUAAGUCCUAGGCCCCAAAAAUAUAAAGGUCCACUAGCCUAUCGGCCUGAUCCCUACACUACCACCACAGACCCCAUUGAAAAUCACAAACAUGGGCCGCACCGCAAAACUUUUUGGGCUGGAUCAACAAAAUUUGGGUCACAAAUCUAAUAGUAAUUUUAGGUAAAAAUAGUGCACAAGAAAAAUUAUACUCUUCCAGCUCAAAAAAGUCGAUCUCUGUACAUCACUGAAGAAUGUGCCUGGAUUCUAUUCAAAUAGACAUGAAACUAUGAAAGAAAUGUGUCAUUUUUUAUUUCCAUUUUGAAAAACACCACAAUGCACAGAUUCCUAACUUAAAUGUAUGAAUAAAAUUGUAAUUAGAUACAAGUUCUAUACAAUAAUACUACAUUUUACACUCAUUGAACUUUUGAAAUAAAUUCAUCAUAAAAAAGACAUAAGCAUUAUUCUAUAAAGUUGAAGCAUUGUAUUUUAAUCAAAAUAGUAUCUUUGUAGCAAAGUCUAUUAUAUUGUUAUGAAAAAAAUAGUAUUAUUUCAAAUAAAAAAUGAGAAAAAUAAAAUAUUCUUGUGGAAGCAUUCUAUUAUAUUAUUCUUGGAGUAUUUUCACAUUUUCUUCGAUUGUAUUUUAUUUUUUCGCAUCGCCUACAUGAAGCUCGUUGCUUAGAAAAGUAGCUCAUAAUAUCCUUGCUUUGAUUGUUAUUUUUUGAUCUACUUGAUCUUGAUUUUCAGAUUGAUGGGAAUACUAUAAUAGCUGAUAUCUCUGGUGGAAUGUGCCAAGAUGUUUCAUCAGGAAGCGAUAUAACUGACAGGUCAUAUGAUUUCACAAAAUUUUCUUUUGUGUAAUAUGAAGCACAAUGAAUUCGUAAGUUCAUAUAUGUACAAGUCAACGAUAUCAUGAUAUGUGGACAAGGUAUGCCAUCUAAUUGAAAUUAUAGGCAGCUAUAAUUUUUUUUGUGCAUGCAUACAAUAUUUUGUUUUUGAGCUUCAUCAAUUCCUACAUAAGCAUAGUGAGUAGAAGCCAUCACCUGUAAUGUAUAAAAUUUAUUAGUAAAUAGUGUGGCAAAGUAGAAUAUUAAUCUUAUAUGAAACAGAAAUAACAAGUUAUACCUUCAUUUUAUAUGGUAAAAUAAGAUUGUUUUCUCAUUAUUAUGUUGUAUUUAUUUCUCAUUUCUGUAAAUAUUACUCCUAAAUUAUUUCUUUGUUCAUUAUUCCAUCUCAUCACCAUAUAUCAUGAAUUAUAGUAAUUUUUUAAUUGGCAGGUCUCUUGCCUCCCUAUUUGAUGAAUUUAGGGACUCAAUUAUAUUUGAAGUCAUCACAUGGAUCUAUUGACAUUGGAAUGAGCUAUGGACCAUUUUUCAUAGCCAAUAUCAAAUAGGUAGUCCUUCACCCGAAUAUUGAUUAUGUUAAUGUCUUUCAUAAGUCGAGAAUAGUCUACCUUUAUGUAUGUUCUAGUAAUUAUAAAGAAGAUCCCAUUAAAUAUUUUUUAUUCUUCUUAAACAUACCCUUGAUGUUGUUUCAUAAAUGAUAGAUGCAUGUACAGUGAGCCACAUUUGAAUAUACAAUUCAAGCGCCUUUUAAUAGGCAUUAUGCCUACCAAAUACUAUGUACAUAUUUUCUCUUUUAUCAAAAAUAAUUUUAAAUAUGCAAAAAAAUCAUCCUCAUGAAGCGUCACUUUCAGAGUCAACAACAUGUGCUAGUUGCAAAAUAUUUUCUAAUUAAGCAAAUGAAAAGGUGUUAAUAUUUUUGACAAUUUUAAAUAACAUAUUAUAACCUUACAAGGUAACGUUUAUGUAAUUAAAAGUUAUAUUAUUACAUGUCUAAAAGAUCCUUAGAAGGUUGUAAUUCAAAUAUUUAAAGUUCUAUCACUUCAUGCCAACAUAUACAUAAUUGCGUAUAAAAAGUUUAGUAGAACUUAUCUGUUGUAUUCAGCGCACUAGCAUACAACAUUGUUCCUCUAUAUACUGAUUUCAGAAAAGUUCCAUCAACUACAAUGGUAAGCAUACAAUAAUUUCAGUCCCUAAUUGAUGCGUUCAACGCGACAAAAGCAUAUAUAAAGUAAUUGUCCUCUAUUUUGUGUGGCAUUAUGAAUGAUUCUGAAUUUACUGCAUUUAUCAUAUACAGGUAAGCUGGCAAUUUAGAAUAAGAUUCACGCAGAAAAUCUUUCAUCAAUACAAAUGUCUUUUCUUUGGCUCUAUAUAUUUUUUCGUAAUUCAUUCUAAUUUCGUAAAAAUUCCUUAUUUCAUCCAUGAUCUCUGCUGGAGUGUAUGUUGACUUUUGAUUUAGAUAGUUGUGCUUCACUAUUUUAACAAUGGUUAAUGAAGUAGCAUGCCAUUGUGAAAGCAUUCUGUCUGCAAUUGAACAGAUGUGAUCAUCAACAAAUUUUAUCACCAUGAAAAUUUCUGAGUUUUAUUGACUUGGAGAUCUAAAAGUCCACUAGCAUCUUUGAUUGAUAUACUUAAAUAGUACCUAGAUACAUUUAUAUAUACUAAUGAUACCUUUAUAUAAUAUGCAUAUAAUUCUAUAUGAACAUAAUCUCUAUUAGUGUAGAAUUUGUAUUAGACACUCUACACUAAUAGAAGGCCCUUCUUUGAACAAAUAUUCAUACAUGUAUUAUACAUCAAUAAUGUAGGUUGUACAAAUAUUUCAACCAUAUAAAGUCCUAUAUUUAUUGGCAUAGGCCCUAGAAAGUAGUUAUACAGGUUAUAUGCAAUUUUGAUACAGGUAUUACAAAGUAGUUAUAUAGUUUAUAUUCAUUAUUGGCUCAUGUCCUAUAUAGUAGCUACUCAGUUCAUAUCCAUUAUUGAUUCAGGUUCUAUACAGUAAUUACAUAGUUUAUGUGAAGUAUUGAUUCAAUUCCUAUAUAAUAGUUACACAGUUUAUGUACAGUGUUAGUUUAGGUCCUAUGCAGCAGUUAGACAAUUUAUGUGAAGUAUUGAUUCAGUUCCUAUGCAGUAGUUAAACAGUUUAUAUGCAGUAUUAAUUCAAUUACUAUGCAAUAGUUACACAGUUUAUAUGCAUUAGUUUAUAUGCAAUAUUAAUUUAAUUUCUAUACAAUAGUUACACAAUUUAUAUACAAUAUCUACACAAGUUCAUACAUAUAUCUCAAUCACAUAUGAGAGCUAUAUAUUGCUGAUACAGGUUCAAUAAAGAAGUUAUAUAAUUUAUAUUCAAUAUAGAUGCAGGUCCUAUACAGUAAUUAAAUAGUUAUAUAUAUAUUAAAACCACAUGCAGGAUGUAUACAUGAUUGGUGCAAGUCAUAUACAGUAGUUUUACAGUUUAAAAAAUACAUACCUUGAUGAUGAUGAUCUAUUCAUGUUAAAUUGAAAUCUCUCACAAAUUACAUAAUGUUUCAUGACACUUGAUGUUGUAUUUUUUUUCCCAGUUUAAUUAUCGUUCUUCUGCAACAUCUCUAUGAAGUGGGUCCUUUAUUAUAGAUUUUAGAUCUUCCUCUAAAAAAUUAUUUUCAAUUGUAUAAUUAGAAUAGGCAUCGAAUGAAUUUGCAUAGCAGUCAGAGACGUUUCCAUCAAAUUACCACAGUUGAGGAUUCUUCAUUUUCAAAUGCGUCUUGUAGUAUUAUAUACAAUGAAAAUUUAUUGAUAUUCAAUUUUUUUAUUCAUCUCCAUGUAAAAUCUAACACUCAUAUCAUAAUAAAUAGGAAUAAAUUCACUCCACACCACGUAUUUUAUCAUCAUUUUGCCUGAAGUUGGCUCUAGAUUCAACUGUUUAUACAGUUUAUCAACAAAAUAUCCGUAGCUGCAAUUCAAAUUCAAAAGCACUCCAUUGAUUAUAAAUUUUUUAAAUUGUACAUCACUUAACCAGUGACCUUCCGUAUUGUAGUAUAAUUGAAAUCAAAAUCAAACUUGAAGCCAUUAUUUCAGAUUAGUUUCAGCUAAUUGAAAAUUAAAAACUUUAUGAAGUUAAUUGGCAGAGGAUUUUUAUAGAUUUAAAUAAUUUAGUGAAAGUAUAUAUGAUGAUGUGUUGUAUCGAAAAGAAAAAUUUGAGGUUGAAUUGAAAAGGAAUCAUGAGGUUAAAUUGGUAAGAGAAAUUGUAGGUUUGAAUUGAAAAGAAGAGAUAUUUAUUUGGCUGAAUUUUGCGUGCCUUCUAACGGUGUUUUAAAUAUGGUUAGAAGAUAAAAUUAGUUUAACAACCAUUUUAAGGAAAUUAAGAUUAGAGAUUAUUUUGGUGAAAUUAAUUUUGUGCGAAGGGACAUUUUUAGCGUUUUUCCUACUAUAAAUGAUUAAUCUAUUCAAGACUCUAUUUGUAAUAUUAUUUGAAGACUCUCAAAUAAUAAUAAUAAUAAUAAUAAUAAUAAUAAUAAUCUAUUAUUUUAAUUUUUUGAGAUAUUAAUAUGUAUAAAAAUUGUACAAUUAGUGUAUAAAAUGUGUACUUAUAUAAAAAAAAAGUAUAAAAAUGUACAGAAAUUAUAUAAUUAUUGUAUAUAAUAUGUAUCUGUAUAGAAACUGUAUAAUUGUUGUAUAAAAUAUUUAUCUCAAUAAUUAUUACAGUUAAAGGUUGUAUAGGAUGUGUAUGAAAAUUAUAUAAUUAUUGUAUAAAAUAUUUAUCUGAUAAUUGUUGCAGCUAAAUAUUAUAUAGGAUGUGUAUAGAAACUGUAUAACUAUGUAUAAGUAAUGUAUUUGUAUACAAUGUAUAUAAAAACUGUAUCAUUAUUGGAUAAAAUGUAUUUAUUGUCAUUUGUCAUCAUCAGUUUUUUAAGAAAAAAUAAUAAUUGAAAAGUGCACUAUCUUUGCUGUUUUGUUUGUAGAAAAAGUUGCCAAUUAUUUUAGGGAAAAUGCUCAAAAAAAUACCUGAACUUUGAUCGGAUAUGCAAUUGAGCGUACUGAACUUUGCGGGGGGUCCUAUUACCCGCUGGACUUUUUUUUCGUAUUUUAAUGACAUAUAUCUGUCCACUUGAACAAGUGUGUGCAAUUCACGCGCAUUGGGCGGGUGAGUGUAUUAAAAAACGUUAAAAACCUUUUUUUUUUGGUCAAAUACCCCGUUAAUUUUCUGAUUUUUAAAUUUUUUAUUUAAUUUUUCAUUCUUUCUCUUCUUUCCUCUUUCUUUCUUCUCUUCAAUAGCACUCCAAUGGUGCUUCUUUCUUUUAUCUUCGACAUACCCAAUUUAUUUUCAUCAAUUUGACUCAGUUUAAAAUUGAAAAUCAUCGCAAAAUUAAAAAAUUAAUCAUCUUUACGUUUGGUCGGAAAAAAAAAAAAUCUUUCUCUUCUCUCUUCUUUCUUUCUUCUCUUCAAUGGUGCUCCAAUGGUUCUUCUUUCUUUCAUCUUCAACACACCCAAUUCAUUUUUAUCAAUUUGACCCAAUUUCAAAUUGAAAAAAAAAAAAAUUCAUCGCAAAAUUAAAAAACUAAUCAUCUUUUAUAUUUGGUCGGAAAUAAAAUCAAAUCUUUAUCAAACUUAGGAGGAAAUUAAUUCCGCCAUUGCUGCUGGCAUUUGGGCAUAAUUAAGAAACUUUGGAAAAGUGUUUCAUUCGAUUUGAAUAAAAUUAUUGAAGAAAGUUUUCGAUUUGAAUUUGAAAUUUGAGAAAAAAUUUUAGUAUGAACUAAAUAAAAGUCAAAUUUCAAGUAUUAAAAAUCAAGAUUUUGGUAAAAAAAAAAAAAUAAUUGAUGAAAAGAAUAAGAAUGAAGAAGAAAGUAAACAAAAAUUAAUUUUUUUUAAAAAAUACGUGUAAAAAUGAGAUUGGAGUUGUAUUACACCGCCAACCGCCAAAACUGGGUAUAACAUUUAGAAGGGAAAUUAAAUUCACUUUUAAAAAGUCUAGGUAGGUAAUAGGACCCCCUCAAAGUUUAGUAUGCUCAACUACAAAUCCGGUCAAAGUUUAGAUAUUUUUCUGAGUAUUUUUUCAUUAUUAUAAUUUAUGUAUAGAAAUUAUAUAAUUGGUAUAAUUGUUGUAUAAACAAUGUAUUUGGAUAUAAUGUGAAUAAAAAUUGUAUCAUUAUUGUAUCUAUUGUCAUCGUCAUUUUUUUAAAAAAGAAUUAUACUUGAAAAAUGCACUCUUUUGUUGUUUUGAUUGUAGAAAAAAUUUGUCAAUUAUUAUAACUUAUGUAUUUACAAAUAUAAUUAUUGUCUGUUGUGUGUGUGUGCGUGUGUGUGUGUGUGUGUGUGUAUAUAUAUAUAUAUAUAUAAUAAAUGAGUGUGUAGAAUUAUUAUUUUUCUUAAAAAUAAAAGAAACAAAUUAAUGAGUAUUCCUAGCCCCAAAAAGGAAGUAACAACGAAAGAGCUGUUAUGAUAUAUAUCAAUUAUAGUGAAUGUCUAUCAAGAUCUAUUUGAUGUCUAUCAGGAUUUGAUGUAUUUGUCUUUUAGUGUGAAACUAAGGGCAAAUUUCCCCUAUAAAUAGAAGGGCUUUCUUCAUUGUAAAUCAUCCCUCAAAAGAAGAAAUAAGAAUCACUCUCUCUAUUCUCUCUACUCUUCUUCUUAUUCUUUAUUAUUUUAUAACACGUUAUCAACACGAGACUCUACCAUCUCAAAUUUGAAGGCUAAGGCUAAGGUAUUAUUAUUUUUCUUCCCUUUUUUUCAUAUGGAUAACAAUCUUACAAAGUGUGAGUUCGUUUCCCUUCAAAGUUCGAACAAGAACUAUAUUUAAUGGGUGUUGGAUGCUGAAAUCCACCUAGAUGCUAUGGGUCUUGGAGACGCCAUAAAGAAUGAAAAUACAACAUCUAGUCAAAAUCGUACUAAGGCUAUGAUUUUCUUGCAUCAUCAUCUUGACAAAGUUCUGAAAAUUGAGUACCUUACUACUAAGGAUCCACUCGUAUUGUGGAAUAGCCUAAAAGAAAGGUUUGACCACUUAAAGAUGGUCAUCCUCCCGAAAACACGAUAUGAGUGGAUGCAUCUAAGAUUUCAAGACUAUAUGUUUGUUCAUGAGUACAAUUCUGCCAUGUUUAGAAUUUUUUCUCAAUUGAAACUAUAUGGAGAGAUGGUAAAUGAUAAUGAUAUGAUGGAAAAUAUGCUCUCCACUUUUCAUGCCUCGAAUGUUCUAUUACAACAACAAUAUUGAGAAAAAGGUUUCAAGAAGUAUAUUAAACUGAGUUCUCAUCUUCUCGUGGCUGAACAAAAUAAUAAUUUAUUGAUAAAAAAUUACGAGAACCGACCAAUUGGAUCUGCACCAUUCCCUGAGGUGAAUGAUGUGCACGCUCAAUAUGCUAGGCAUGAAAAAGGUUGCGGCCCUGAUCGUGGACGUGGUCGUGAUGACCAAGAAAGAAACCCUGUUCCGGGUGUUAAUCAUUCAUCAAACAGAAAGAGAAAAGAUGAGAAACGUGAAGCAGUUACUUGUUUUCAAUGUGACGGAAAAGGAUAUUAUUUACGUGAUUGUCGUGCUCUCAAGCACUUGGUUGAUCUUUAUCAAGCAUCACUAAAGAAGAAAGAGAGAAACCUCGAGGCUAACUUUCUCUCUGAAAAUAAUGUUGACUUCACAUGUUUGGAUGUAGCGGACUUUUUCGAGCACCCUGAAGGAAAGAUUGAUCACCUGAUUGGUGAUGGUUCCGUAAACAUGAAAGAAUGAAUGAUUUUUUUAUUUUGUUUAAUUGUUGAUAAGAGUUAGUGAAUAAAGAAUCAUGUAAAAAUAGUUGUUUGCAUGAGUAUUAUUUUUUAUUAGUAUUGAUUAGUUUAAAUUUAAUAUUGUUAUUUAUUAUUGAGUUGAAUCAAAUUUUAAUUUUGUCAUCAUUUAUUGAAAAAAAAUUAUGAUUGAUUGAUUGAUCAAUAUUAAUCAAUGUUAAAACUAAUCAUAUUUUUGGUAAUUAGCUUAUAACUCCAGCGUCAUUUAAUCAUGUUUCGAAAUCCAAAUGCAAGGAAAUACCAUAUUCAUCAUUAUCCCAUUGUACAACACGUUUUGGACAUUACUACUGCAUAUUAACAUUUUUGGACUAUUAUAUUAUACUGUUAAUAUUAUUGCAUGUUAAUGUUCCAUAUUAUUAAUUAUAAUAAUAAAUAUAUUAUGUAUUUCAUUCUUUGUCAAAUAUUAUAUUCAAUAGUUUUUAAUUUGGACAUAUUAUUUUUUAGUAAAGUGUAAUUAACAAUUUCUUAUAAGCUUUCACUUUGUACAAAAAAAUUUAAUAUAUAUUUUAUUUGGUUGAAGAUAAGGAUAAUUUUCAAGAAGAUAUUUGUUUGAUUGAUUCUGGAACUACACAUAUGAUAUUCAAAAACAAGAAAUAUUUCUCUCAUCUAAACAUGGACAAGAUUAAUGUCACUAUAAUUUUUGGUAGUGCUAAUUUGAUUGACGGCUUCGAAAAAGCCAUUAUAAUCUUGCCCAACGGAACUAAACUCAUCAUAAAUAAUGUUAUGUUCUCUCCCAAGUUUCGAAGAAACUUGAUAAGUUUUAAAGAUAUCCGUGAAAAUAGUUAUCAUAUCAAGACAUUUGAUGAGAUGAAUCUUGAAUAUCUUGGUAUCACCAAGAAUGUCUCUAGGCAGACAUGUGUUAUUGAAAAGUUUCCUGCUUUAUCUUCUGGCCUAUAUUGGACAAAGAUUUGUGCAAUUGAGGCACAUUCUAUAGUAAAUCGAAAGUUUACUGAUUCCAAUACUUUCGUACUUUGGCAUGAUCGUUUAGGACAUCCAGGAUUAAUAAUGAUGAGACGAAUAAUAGAAAAUUCAAAUGGGCAUCCAUUAAAGAACAUGAGGUUCUUUCGAAUGGUGAAAUUUCAUGUAAUGUUUGUUAUUAAGGCAAGUUGAUUGUGAGACCAUUGCCAACAAAAUUUGGGAUUGAGUCCCCCUCGUUCUUGAAAUGCAUACAUGGGGAUAUUUGUGGACCAUUUAAAUACUUUAUGGUCCUAAUAGACGUUUAAUCUAGAUGGUCUUAUGUGUGUCUAUUGUCAUCUCGCAACUUGGCAUUUGUAAAAUUAUUGGCACAAAUAAUACGAUUAUGGGCACAGUUUCCCGAUAAUCAAAUUAAGUCUAUUUGCCUUGAUAAUGCUGCAGAAUUUUCAUCCUAAGCAUUUAAUGACUAUUGCUUAUCGAUUGGGAUAAGAGUGGAACAUCCUGUACCCCAUGUUCACACUCAAAAUAGCCUUGCUGAGUCAUUAAUUAAACAUCUACAGUUGAUAGCAAGACCAUUGCUUAUGAAAACUAAGUUUUCCACUUCUGUUUGGGGUCAUAGAAUUUUGCAUGCUGCAAUACUUGUUCCUCUUAGAUCGACAAAUUAUCAUAAAUUUUCUCCGUUGCAAUUAGUUUUGGGUCAAGAGCCUAAUAUAUCUCAUUUGAGAAUUUUUAGGUGCAGUGUUUAUGUGCCUAUAGCACCACCAAACCGCACCAAGAUGGAUCCCCAAAGAAAGUUAGGAAUUUAUGUUGGGUUUGAAUCACCCCCCAUUAUUUGCUAUCUUGAACCAUUAAUGGGAGAUAUGUUCACUGCUCGAUUUGCAGAUUGUCGAUUUGAUGAGAUACUUUUUCCAAAAUUAGGAGGAGAAGAUAGUGAUAUCAAAAGAGAAAUGAAAAAAUUCAUCACUAUCUCAUCUUGAUCCACGUGCUUCUAUUUGUGAGAAAGAAGUACAAAAGAUUAUUCAUCUGCAGAAAAUUAUAAAUCAAAUGCCGGAUGCAUUUACUGAUCUGAAAAAAAUCCCCAAAUCACAUAUUCUUGCAUAGAAUAUCCCAAUUCGAAUUGAUGUCUCUAAAGGACCAUCCAAUAGUAUCAUAGCUAAUGAAUCUAAAGCACGCUUGAAGCGUGGCAGACCAUUAGGUUCUAAGGAUCGAAAUCCUAGAAAAAGAAAAACAAAUGGUCAAGAUGACACUACGAAAGAUCCUCAUAUGGAAGCUCAAUAUUUGAGCAAUGUUGAUAUCCCUGAAGGGAUCAAUGAGCCCGAGACUCAAGAAAAUAAGGAACUAUCCAUAAAUUCAAGUGAUGUUGAAAUUAAUUUAAAUCAAUCUGAAAUAAUAGUGGACUAUGUCUUUGCAUAUAAUGUUGCAAGAAAAAUCAUACAAGACAAUGAGGAUCUUGAACCUUGAUCUGUCACAGAAUGUCGACAAAGAAAUGACUAGCCAAAAUGGAAAGAAGCAAUUCAAUCUGAAUUGAAUUCACUUGCCAAACGUGAAGUUUUUGAACCUAUAACUCAAACACCUAAUAGUGUUAAGCCUGUUGGCUAUAAAUGGGUCUUUGUGCAAAAAAAAUGAGAAAAAUAAAAUACAAAGGUAUAAAGCACGCCUUGUUGCACACAAGGAUUUUCACCACGGCCUGGUGUCAAUUAUGAUGAGACAUAUUAACCAGUUAUGGACACAAUAACAUUGUGGUAUUUUAUUAGUUUCACUAUCGAUGAGAGACUUGAAAUGCAUUUGAUGGAUAUGGUAACAACCUAUCUAUAUGGAUCACUUGAUAAUGAGAUAUACAUGAAAAUUUCUGAAGGAUUUAAAAUGCCGAAAGCAUAUAGUUCAAAGCCAAACAACAUCAGAGUUUGUUAUACUUGUUGUCUAUGUCGAUGACAUAAACCUUAUUGGAACACCAAUAGAGCUUCAAAAGGCAAUUGAUUACCUAAAGAAAGAAUUUGAGAUGAAAGAUCUCGGAAAGACAAAGUUAUGCCUUGGUUUGCAAAUUGAGCAUUUGACAAACGGAAUCUUUGUCCAUCAAUCUGCCUACACAGAAAAGGUGUUGAAAUGAUUCUAUAUGAAUGGGGCAUAUCCAUUAAGUACUCCGAUGGUUGUUCGAUCACUUGAUGUGAAUAAGGAUCCAUUCCGACCUCAAGAAAAGAAUGAGGAACUCCUUGGUCCUGAAAUACCAUAUCUUAGUGCAAUUGGUGCACUAAUGUAUCUUGCAACUACUACAAGGCCUGAUAUUUCCUUUUUAGUAAAUUUUCUAGCAAAGUAUAGUUCUACUCCUACUAGGAGACUUUGGAAUGGGAUCAAACACAUAUUACGGUAUCUAAAGAGGACUACCGAUAUGGGCUUAUUUUAUUCUAAAGAUUGCAGUUCCGACCUUGUUGGUUAUGCUGAUGCUAGGUACUUAUCUGAACCGCAUAAAGUUCGGUCUCAAAUAGGUUAUAUAUUUAUAUGUGGGGGUACUGCCAUAUCUUGGAGAUUAACAAAGUAGUCUAUCGUAGCUACUUCAUCGAAUCACACUGAGAUUAUAGCUAUUCAUGAAGCAAGCCGAGAGUGUGUGUGGUUGAGGUCCAUAAUACAUCUCAUUCGAGAAAAAUGUGAUUUGAAAUGUGACAAAGUACCCAUAAUUUUAUAUGAAGAUAAUACAGCAUGCAUAGCACAGCUGAAAGCUGGAUUCAUAAAAGGAGAUAGAACAAAACACAUUUCGUCAAAGCUCUUUUAUACACAUGAGCUCCAAAAAAUGGUGAUAUUGAUGUACAAUAGAUUCGUUCAAGUGACAAUGUGGCUGAUUUAUUCACCAAGUCUCUUCCAACUGCAACUUUUAAGAAGAUGGUGCAUAAGAUCGGAAUGCAAAGAUUCAAGGAUGUUCUUAUUAGAGGAGUUAAUACGCAUUGUACUCUUUUUUCCUUAUGAGGUUUUAUCCCACUGGUUUUCCCUGUAAGGUUUUUAAUGAGGCAUCCUAUAUGCGUAUUAUUAGACAUUCAAGGGGGAGUGUUAUGAUAUACAUCAAUUAUAGUGAAUGUCUAUCAAGAUCUAUCAAAAUCUAUUUGAUAUCUAUCAGGAUUUGAUGUAUUUGUCUUUUAGUGUGAAACUAGGGGCAAAUUCUCCCUAUAAAUAGAAGGGCUUCCUUCAUUGUAAAUCAUCCAUCAAGAGAAGAAAUAAGAAUCACUCUCUUUUCUCUCUACUCUUCUUCUUGUUCUUUAUAGUUUUAUAACAAGAGCAUCUUUUUCUACGUAAAAAGCAUAAAAAAUAAUGACACAAAAAUAAGGUAGAGGUUUUACCAACAAAAAAGAAAAGGCAGAGAAACAGUGAAAUUUUGAUCAGUUAAAGAGCUCCAAAAGACAACAAAAAGGAAAAUCAAAUUUUAUGGCCGUUCGGUUGGCAAUAUUUUGCACUGGAUGGUUAUUUUGUCUCCCUAUUUAUUAUUCAAGGGAUUAACACAAUGAAAUAGAGAAAGUUGUUGACUAAUAUUCUUGUAUCGGUGGAAAACUUUUCAACUGGUGUCUUAUUUUAUUAACUAGUAUACCCUCUCGCGUGAUGCACGAAUUAUUUAGAAGAACAUGUGAAUGAAAGUUGAGAAUCUAAAAGCAUUUUUUAAUAAAUAAUACCUUGAUAUAAUAAAAUUAUUCAAAAUCUUUAGGACUAAGAAUUAUAAUAUUUUGGUACAACAAAAUUAAUACUUAGAAUUCUACAAUAUAUGCAAAAAAAAAAAAAAAAAAAAAAAAAAAAACAACUUGAGAAUUAACUUGAUUUUAUCCAUACAUAAAAAAAAAAAAUAAUGUGUACAUAUUCACCAAUAAAUUAUUUCUACUUUGAACUUCAUAUUUCAUCUUGAGUAAAAUUAAAAAUAAUUGUAGUUGAAUCACACUCUUAACAUUAAUUUAAUUACAUGAAUUCAUCCCUAUUUUAAUAAUCUUGACUUUUAGGAACAAUCCAUGUCUGUUAGGUUGAUACAUUAUUUCGUGCUUCCUACAAAUCAACAUGCUGUCAAAAAAUUAAUUAAAAUCCUCCAAUUAAAACUAAAUCCUAAUUGCAUAGGAUAUAAUCCAAAUUUACAUAAACAUAAGAUAGGAUACAUUAGCAAAUUUAGAUGAUAAAGGCAAAACAUAAUAAAUGAAUAGAUUAUGUAUGUUUAUUUUCAUAAAGUAAUACAGAUACACAUACCUUCGGAGUCUUGAAUUUCUUUUAUUUGUUGAACCUGUGUUUGUGAUGAAAAAAUCUUCUAAUUUCUUUAAAAAAUAUCUUUUGAAGAGACAACAAAAUAAUACUACGUCAAUUUGAAAUUUAAAUAGCUAUAAUAUUUUGACAUAGAAUUAAUUGAAUGUUGUGGUAUAUGAUCAGUUACAUCUAUCAUGCUUCAUUCAUUUAAUGUUAAAAGUGCUUUUUUUUUACUUCGAAUCUAAAAGAUAAUGCACAUAAUUUAUCCUUAUCAAAUAUCAACAUUGAUAAUAUAUUAUUACGAUUUAUGUGCCUAUUUUAAAAAAGAAACUAUUCUUUGAAGAGACAACACAAAAUAAUAUUACGUCAAUUUAAAAUCUAAAUAGCUAUAAUAUUUUGACAUGAAUUUAUUAGGAUGUUAUGGUAUAUCGUUAGUUACAUCUAUCAUAUUUUGUUUAGUUAAUUUUAAAAAAAAUACUUUUCGACUUCGAAUUCAAGUAAUAAUUUACUCUUAUCAAAUAUCAGCAUGAUAAUAUAUUAUUAUGAUUUAUGUGCCUUUGUGUAAUUUUAGUGUACAGAAAAAUGAGUGGAUUGGGAUGUGUAGUUUUAGUGUGCACGAAAAUGAGGAGAUCGGGAUGUGUAAGGAUUAAGAUAUGUGAGUUGUUAGUGUUUAGAUUAAGAGUUAUCAAUUUUUUUGAGUUUUUAUUUUUAUUUUUUUUCUAAAUUAAAAAUGAAAUAAGAAAAAUAUUUAUAAUUAUUUCAUGUCUCUUAAAAGAUUUACAUUAUAUUUAAAUUUAAAAUAUUUAGGAUGUGGAUAAUGAAAAAAAAUUGAAUGAUAUUUUGUUUUAGAGAUAUAAUGGAGAAGUUGUAACUACUUUGAAUUCUAUUAAAUUUUAAUAUUUUAAAUAUGCAUGUGAAGAAAGUAAUUGAUUGUUUUAAUUAGUGGUACUUCUUUAAAAAUAAUUAUGUAAUUUCUAUAUUAUUGAAGCAUUAUCUUAAAAUUAGAUCAUAUUGAUGUAAUAAAUAUGUAAUUACCAUCAACUGCAUCUAUCACAUUUCAUUUAUUUGAUUUUAAAAGUGCUCCUUUUUGACAUCGAACCCAAAUGUGAUUGCAAAAGAUAAAGAAAUGAUGUUACAUUCAGAUUCUCUAAUUAUGAUAAUGAACAUAAUUUACUCGUAUCAAAUAUAAAAAUGAUAAUACAUUAUUAUAAUUUAUAUUUACUAAUAUUAUUAUUUCUUCCUCCGCAUGACGUAUAUAUCCUUGUAUAUAUUAAAGACGAUAUUUAAACUAUUUUUUUAUUUAUCAGAUUGUAAAGAUUAAAUUUAAAAUUAAAUUGCACCAUGAUGAAGAUGAUAAUAAAUUUUAAAAAAUAUUUAUCUUUAAUUUAAAUUCAUAAGUUUUAAGAUAAUCAAAAAAACUAAACCAAUCUAUCGGUUGAGAAAGACUUGAAAAGAAGUUAUCCAUUAUUUUUAUUGGCAAAAUCAUAUGACUACAUCAAAUAGCCUUAGUAUACUUUAAUUAGAAAUAGUCAAUAGCAUAAAAUGAAAUAAUAAUAAUAGAGAAAUUAUGAUAGAUUUUAUAUUUAAUAAGGAUGAAUAAAUUAUAUAAAAAAUUAUAAGGAAUAAAUUCUAGUUAUUUCACAUAUAAUUAGCAAUAAUGAAUUAUAUAAAGAAUAAUAUUUCAUAAUAUAUUUGUAGAAUAAUUCUGUAUAUUAGAAAUAAUAUAAAUAAUAAUUGAAUAAAUAGUUAAAAUUCAUAAGUUAGGAAUCUUAACUUAUUUCUUGUGGCUUAUAAUCCAUACACUAUAAAUUUAUCCAAAUAGGUUCUAAUUAAAUAAAAUUACUUAUCUUCAGAAAAAAUUUAGAAAAGCACAAAAAGAGCACAAAGAUGCUCUAAGUGUAAUUCAUUUUGCUAUAAUGUUAUUGCUUUUAUGGUAUCUACAACAUGAAAAAUAAUAAUAACUAAUAUAAAAUAUAUUUUAUGAUGACAACUGAAGAUAUUUAUUUAUGGAUUUAAAGUUCUAAUCCAUUGAGUUAAGACUCGAUGCAGAAUAUCCUAACUUUUUUGUUAUAAUUUUUAUUGUUUCUUCUUGUCAUUUUGAAUCUUUAAAUACGGGUAUAUAUCAAAUACUUUUAUGAUCAUUAAUAGUGACAGUUGAAUCUACUUUCAUUAAAAUUCUAAAAUAUUUUUAUCAAGUGGUGCAUCAUUCUUAGACUGUAAAUAUUUAUAUACAAUAAUUUUUAAUAUCAAUAAAAUUUUUUAUGAUGCACCAGAAUUUUUUCCUUAAAAUCUAUAACAAAAGAAAAUUUACUAUUGAAUUUAUCUCUUUCAAUAGAAGCAUUAAUAUAACAAAUAUCCUUUAGUUUAAGAUACUAAAUUAAAAGUAAAUCAUUAUAACUUAAACCUGGAAGAAUUCUUAAAAUAUGUUAAUCAAUCAUGUCAAUAUUAAUCCAAAAUAAAAGCAUAUGUAAAAAACAUGCUUCAUGCUUUGGAUCAUUGUUUAUCCAAAUACAAAGUAAAAUUUCAAAAAUAAAGUAAUAAAAAAAAUUCUGAAAAUGAAUAAAAAAUUAUAAUACCAAAUUUAAAAUUCUAAAAAUUGUAUAUAUAGAUUUUGUAUAUCAGUGUAUAUAUUUAAUGUGAAAUAGAAAGAAAUAAAUCCUACAUUUAUUAUAAUAUUAUUAUAAUAAAUUCAUGAGUAAAAUAUAUUUAGAGAAAUGGGACACAAAAAAACAUAAAACGCAGAAAAAAGCGAAAUAAAAUUUCAUACAUCUCAAAAAUGGCUUACGAUUGUUAGUGUGAAAUCCUAGAAAAUUUAUAGAGAAUUAAAUUUAAAUAAUAAUUAAGAAAUAAUCUAAGUAAGAGUUAUACUAACACUAAAUAUUUAAUGCCACAUAGGAAGAAAAAUUGAAAGUAACUUUGUUUUAGUUUUUGAAAGGAUAAAUUUAUAUAUUUUCUUAGAAGACACGGGAUUAGAAGUUGUAAAUAUUUUUAAUUCAAAUUGAAAUAGUAUAACCACUACUCAUUUAAAAUAGUUUGUAACGGUCAAUGGAAAUUAUGAAUGUGGGAUAUUUAUAUAUUGUUUGAUAAUUACAGUGUCGGAUAUUUAGGUUAGCUAAAUUUUAUUUUGAUCUUUUAAUUAUUCUAUCUUUUUACAUUUAAAAAUUAAAAAUUGAAUAUGAUAAAUAUAAAGUUUUCAUGUCUUUUUAUUUAUUAAAAAUUUUUAAAUGAAAAACUCACUUUUUAAAGUUUAUUGUGUGUUCGAUCUUAGAUACUACCUAAUUCGAUAUUACUUUAAUAUUACUUAUUUAUUUCUUAUUUUGGUAUAUUGAAAUUCUACAAUUUAGUAUUACUACAUGUUUCUAAUUUUUUUAAUUAAAUUUUCACUUGAUUUAUAGGCUAUUUGGUCAAACUUAUUUUUUAAAAAAAGUAUUUAUUUUUUUUUUUAAAAAAUGAGGUGUUUGGCCAAACUUUUGAAAAAAAAAAAAAUAAGUACCUUUAUGGAGUAUAAAAAAUAGUUUUUCAUAAGUUAAAAAAAUAUCUUCUUCCUAAGCGCACUUAUUUGAAAAAUAUCUUUUUGAAAAAAUCAGUUAAAAAGCACUUUAAAAAGUUUGGCCAAAUAAUAAUUAUUGCUCAAACGUUUUUUAAAUUUUUUUUGACCAAAUACAAACUAUUUCUCACUAAAAGUACAUUUUGAAAGUACUUCUGAAAAACACACUUUUCAAAAGGAAAAAUUACAUGAACUAGCAACUUUAAGAUAAUAAUUACAACUAAUAACAAUAGUUUCUCAAAAUUACAAUUAUUAGCAAAAGUAGCAAUAUUUAACCUUUUUAAUUAAUGGCGCGUGAGUUGUACAACAAUAUUUUUCAUUUUACCCUUUUCACGGCUCUUUACCUUCUUUUUACCUAUUUUUACGCCACAACAAAGAUUUCAAUUCCCUCCAAUAUCUUCUUCAGCUAUUUUUUUUUUCAAAAUCCACGAUUUUCUCCUUAAAUCUUGAUAACCCUUGUUCCCAUAUAUUAAGGUAAGUGAUUUACUGUUAAUGCAUGUUUCAAUUUCCUUUUAACUUCUUCUUUUUCUUGUUCAUUAUAUUUUUUCAUAUAUUUUUGUGUGUUUAAUUUGAGUUUUUUUGGGGGGUUUAAUUUGCAUGUUUUGAUUUUUUUUUGGUUUACCGAUAUAAUGGCAAAACAUGCAAAUUAUUCUAUGAGUUUUGAUGAAAUACCAUCUUUUAGCCUCGGUUUAAUCCAAGACGAAAACAAUAACUUAAUUUCUUGUAAUACCCAGGCAAAGGGAAGUUUUAACUUAAAAGAGUUGAGAUCAAAUAAGCGAAACGAUCCCCAAAAGUCCGUUGAAACAAUGAAAUGGAAAGCAGUGAUGGAUUCUUUGUUCCCCAAAUUAAAAAAAAUCAAAAAACAGUGAAAAAUAGAAAUCCAGGUGGAAAAUCUCAUUCGACAAAAAAUUCAAGCCCGAUUUCAUCUGAUUAUGAAUCGUCAUCUGAGGAAGAGAAAGAUGAGAAGGUAUUGUUUCAUUUGCAAAAUUUUGUAGUUUAUGUACAAUAUGUUAGUAUAUGUAUUUAAUAUGUAUAAUUGAUAAGUUUUGUGCUUAUUUUAGCUUUGUCUAAAGUUUUGUUACUUAGAGUUUUAGAGUUGUAUUUAUUCUGUAUUAGAUUUUUAAGAUAUGUAUAUUUGUAUUUAAAUCUUGUGUAACAUAUUAUAUUUGAUAAUGUUAAGAUCUGUAUUUGUAUACAUUUUCAUUAGAUAUAUAUUUUGUAUUUAAGUUUUGUGUAACAAGUUGUAUUUGAUAAUUUGUAAGAUUUGUAUUUGUAUAUGAUUUAUAUAAAUACAUAUGUGGUCUUUUUAGACAUAUAAUUAUAGUUUUGUGUUUUAUAGGUUUUGCGCGAUAAAAUAUACAUGGCAAGAGUAUUGCCUAAAUUUGCACCACAUAUUGGUUGUCAUACGGUCAAUGACAUUGAAGACCGUAUUAAGGCAAUGCUAACGAAGAAUCAGUUUAAGAAGUUUUGUACUGAUAGUAUUUUUGGCGUUUUCAUGAAGAAAAAGAAUUGUGUUGUGCAAGCGCAAUUAGGGAGAUGCGUUAUGUCACUGGAGACUACGAAAAGUUACAAGUGAUAUAGUCAUUUGUGCAAAGGGCACAACACUGCAUUUUAGUCUUAGAGAAUCGUUACAGGGACUAUCCUUGAGGACUUCUUACAUAUGAAGAAUUAGCUAAGAGUUUAAAUAAAAAGUUGAAACCCAAAGGGAAGUUUUACAUGCUUCAUGGAAUGCUACUUGCCAUCCAGAUUUGGCUGUAUGAGUGUUGUUUUGCUGUCCCUCGUACUAUCACUUCCAAGGUGGAUUCUCAAAUUCCACAUCUUUUAAAUUGAAAGACAAAUGCUAUUCGCCGAUGAUAUGAAUCAUUGAUAGAAAGUUUGUUUAAUGAUGCAAAUGAUAAAGUUAGUUUCCUGAAAAACUACUAUUUUCUGUGAUGUUUUAAUUAUACUGUAAAUACAUUUAUUGUAUUCAUAUAUGACAGUAAGUGAAUGAUUUGCAUUAUUGUCAAGGUUAACUGGUUAUAAUAUCUAUUGUAGGUUGUUUUUAAGAACAUUGAGCCGACACGAAAGGAGAUUUCAACCUUUCAGAUACCAAAGAUUUUCCAUAGAGGUGGAAGUCAUAAAGAAGAUUAUGUUGAUUCUGAUGAUGAUUUUCAAAAUCCACUACUAUAACGGAAGCUUUCAAUCAGCCCAAAAAAACAUCAGGGCGAUUCGUCAUAUUCACCUGCCAAGAAAAAGUUAAAGAAUCAAUCAAAAGGUGCAAAUCAGCAUACACCAAAAAGGAAUACUCCAAGUCGUGCUGUGAAUAUGUCUUCUGUGAAGACACCAGCUUUCAAUUUGGUUCAAUUAGAAGAAACAGUACCUUCAAACAGGAAAGACAUUCUGGUUCAGUCACCUGAUAUGUCUUUUUCCAAACUUUCAGAUGAAGAUGAUCUUGUUUCUAAGAAAGUGUUUGAAAAGUUUCGUGAUGAGGUAAUUUACGCAUAAGACUUUGACUUUAGUAUAUUUGUUUCUUUCAUAUCUAAUUGUAAUUCCUUGAAAUCAAGUUCGAAAGGAAUUUAAUGACAUUCGGAAUUUAGUAUCAACAAGGUGUGAUCAAAUAAUGAAUUCAAUAAAUGAGUUUAAGGUACAAAAAUUUUAGUUUUAAAAGAAUAAUGGUUUUAUACAUAUACAACAUAUGUAGUUAUGUGUGAAUAACUACAUAUUUAAUAUGUAUUUAGGUUUGAUUAAAUACAUAUUUAAUAUGUAUUUAGGUAUGAUUAAAUACAUAUUUAGUAUGUAUUUAUGUUUGAAUAAAUACAUAUUUAGUAUGUAUUUACGUUUGAAUAAAUAUAUAUAUUUAUAUAUAUAUUUCAGAUCUAUAUCUAUAUUAUCACAUAUACAUAUGUAGAGUCAUUUCCUACUUGUUGGUUUUUAUUUUUUUAUGUUACGUAUUUAUAUCUUUUCAACGACAAGAAACAAGAAAAAGACAGAUUUUGACAAGGAUCAAAUGGAGGAUGGUCAAAAGAAUACAUCACCACAUCAAUCAACUCCAACGAAUGUGGAAGGUUUAAAUAAGAAUUCUGAAGGCAUAUUGGUAAGUAAAUUUGUGUUUAUUUUUAUGUGUUGAAUAUAUUUGAUAUGUUAAAUAAAUAUAAAACAUAUUUAUUAUGUUGUUGAAUAAAUAUAUAUGUACUCAUAUAUAUAUAAAUGUAGUACCAAACUAAUCAAGUGAUAUAUUAAUUUUGAUCGUCAUACGUAUCUAAUAUUUUUUGAAUUGAAUAAACAGGUUAAAGAUUAUGAAUUUGUCAAGCCACAAUUGGAUGAAUCUGAUAACGAUUUUUCACUUCAUGAAUCCACACCAAUUUUACAUCAUGAUUUUGAUAUGAAUCCUGAAGUCACGUUGGUAAGUAAAAUAUUUUCAUUUAGAUGUAUAUUAUUUUGUAAUACUAUUGAAAUUUUGUUUUACAUAUAUGAAGUAUACAUGUGAUCAUUGUUUAUGUUUAGGAACAAGUUAUUGAAGACAUCACAGAAAAAUAAAGCACCGAUUUUACUGAGUUGUACAAUGACGAUAAUGAUGUUGUUUUGGUAAUUUGUUGAUUACUACUUUUCUUAUGUAUAUUAAUAUACUUGAAUAUUAAUAUUUUUUAAUGUUUUAUUAUUUAUUUUAUUAAAGGACAAAAUUGAUAGUUGUGUGCAUGAAGCAAGAGAUGUCUGUGAUUCAAUAGUAUGAUGAAUCUAUAUAUGUUGUAUUUUUAAUUCAUGACAAAUAUUGAUGUUUUUUAACAUGUUACAACAUGUUGAACAGAAUAAAAAAAAUAUUGAUGAAAGUGUUGCUGAAGCACAAUUUUCAGAUUCACAAUUCACAUUUUCAGAUGAGGUGCUUAGAAGUAUCAAUCUUGAUUUUAUACAAUAAAAUUUGGGAGUAUGCUUCAUUCGUGCAUAAUUUAUGUUUACUUUCUUGUUGUUGUAUAAAAUUUACAAGAUUUGUAUAUAUUUUAAAUAGAACAUAGAAGCAGCUGCAGGAAUAAUUGAAAAUACAUCAACAGCUGAUGUUGAGCAAUCAAAAUUGGAUGGAAAAGUUAAUCUAGAAGUGCACAUUCAUGAAGUAGCAUCUGGAGAAGGGAAGGGUCAACUAGAUUUACGUGAUUCCCAAGUAACACUUCCUAAUGAGUUGCUACCCAUCGUUAACGCCUAUGUUAAUCUGAAAAGAAGCAUAAUUGUACAUCCAUCUGCAAAUAAAUAACAAACGCCUAUGAAUGUUUCAAGAGACCAUCUAAAUACAAGGAGUCACCAUUCACUACAAAAUUUGGCUCAGCAGAAGGUUUGUACUAUAACCUUUUAUUUAGUUGCAUUUAUCAAUAUUCUUUAUUUUUAUACAUUAAUUUCUUUUUCUUUUCAUUGAAAUUAUAAAGGGAGCACAGAAGUGCAGACCAAAAAAUUCAACUUGAAUCAUCCAUUUGCAUCUCAUUCAAUCUAUGAUAUUGAAGACACUAAGGUCACCAAUAAGUUUUUGGCGUGGCUUUCAGUGGACCUUCUCAAAUAUCAUGUGAAGAAGUAUUUACUUUACAACUUAAUUAUAUAAUUCAUUUACAUUUUAUGUUUAUUAUUAAGUAUUAUGCUUUAUAAAUUAACAGGAGCAACAGAGAGGAACAUUAUAAGAAAAACAAGUCGAGGAUGUCAGUUAUGAAUUUUGGCAUUCUAUCAGUUGAUGACAAGAAUUGGUUCUACAUUAUAGGUACUCCUGGACAGUCAUGGUCAGAUGAAGUGAGUUACAUCUUUAUAUUAUAAUUACGUAUGACGAUCUAUCUAUUAUAUGUAUUUUAUUGUAUACAUAUGCAGUAUCAUAUGUUCAGACACAUGCAUUUGAGUACAUAAAUAAUUAGUGGAAGAUAUCCAAAGUUUGAUUUUGGUUAGUUACUUUUACAAAUCUUUCAUUUUUUGAUGCAGCAAAUUGAUGUUUGCUUUUACUAUUUGAGAAAGAAAUCAAAGUAUGAACAUCUAUAGCACAGUUGACUGCAAUUUUAUGAACAUUGUAAGUAAUGUGGUAGCUGUGUAUUCAAUUGAUGAUCCAGCGCUUGAUGCUGGUGGAAAAGAAUACCAUUUGAAUGAGUACAUAAGUGGAUUUCGCGUGCAUGCUACUGUGCCACGGUAUAUGAUUGAUCAUAUAUUCAUUCCUAUCAAAGUAAAUUCCAAACAUCAUUGGGUUCUGGCUGUUCUGUCUUUUAACCAGAGAUGCAUAUACGUAUAUGAUUCUAUGUCAUCUGCUGGUCAUGAUUCUGCUGUGCUUGCUGAAGUUCAGAAAUUAGUUGAGGUUAUACCUUUAUAACUUUUGGCAUGCAAAUUCUAUGAGAAGAAGGGUAUUGAUAUUGACAGUCAUCCAAAUUACAAGUUAAAUGAAAAAAGAAGAUCUAUUUGAUAUCUACAUUGUAGAAGAUUUGCCUCAACAACCAAGUGGCAGCUUGCACGUUUUAUAUUCAUAUUAAUGGUUAUAUAUAUUAUAUAUAUUUCAUGUUAUACAUAUAUAUAUAUAUAUAUACUUAUGAAUUAUACUAUAUGCAGGGAUUUAUAAAUGAUUACUUAUGCCGAGUGCCUUACAUUUGGUGGAGGUGUUUCGAAAGUCGACUUUGAUCCAGAUCUGCUUCGCACGAGGUACGCUGCAAUGUUGUGGCAUUAUAGUAAAAGAAAAGAAGAAGAGAAAGCACAGAGCGAUGAUGAAGCACCAAGUACGCCUCGUAGGGAAAUUCAGAUAACAGAAAUUACUGCAGUAACUGAUAUAUGCCUUUUAUUUUGACAUAGUUGUAUUUGACAACAAUUAACAUUUUGUUGACUGCGUCUUUUUUAAUAUAUUUUAAGUUUCAUAUGUUAUUUUUAUGAUCAAUUUCAAUAUUUUAUUAUGAUGUUUAAUUGAUGUGAUAUUUACUUUUUGUGAUGUUUACAGUACAAUAUUUAAUUUAGGUUUCUAUUAUGUGUAUGUUGAUUGAUACGAAUACAAAAUAUAUGUAUUUUAAAUUUUAAUUUUUUAAAUAUGUAUUGUGAGGAAUGUGCAUCCAUUUUUUAGUAUAGCAUGUAUUGAUCAAAAUCAACAUAUAUAUAUAUAUAUGUAUAUAUAUAUAUAAUAAUGCAUAAUACAUAAAUACAUAUAUAUUCAUAUUUAAUAAAGCAUCUGUAUUUUAAUCGUAAUGAAAAAUUUAUAAAUGCUUUCACAACUAAUGUAUAUGCCUAUAUAAUAAAGCAUGUGUAUUUAACAAUAAUUUAAAUAUAUUUAUAUAUUUAAUAUAUACAUAUAUGUAUAUAUGUUUGCUCAAAUGUAUUUAUGCAUUAGUUAUUAAAACGUAUUUUUACAUAUAUACACAAAUGUAUAUAUGUAUUUAAGAAUAUAUCCAUAUGUAUAUAUGCAUAUAUGUAUUUAUGCAUAACAUAUUUAUAAAUAUAACUAAAUCAUAUGUUUUAUCAUUCUAUAUGGUCCUUUAAAAUAUGUUUAUAUACAUAUUUUUCGAUGGUCAUAGCUACUUCAAUGAUUCUUCAAAGUAAUUAACAAAAUUAACAUUUUGUUAUGUGUAGAUUUAAAUAAGUAUAAAUCAAUAAUGUUAUAUGUAAUAAUUUCUCAAUUUAUUCUUAUUGAAUUCAAUUAAAGAAAUACAUAAAGUUUCCAACAUAUUACGCAUAACAACAAAAAAUAGCAUCAAAAUUAUUUUUUCAAUAUAUAAGAUCCUAUAUAUAUUAUUCAAUGUAGAAAAAUAUGCAAUUUUUUGUUAACUAAAGACAUUAACUUAUCAUUUGUUGUAUUUCCUACACGAACGUCUAUUGUGACCUUUACUUCCACAUGAACUACAAUAAUUUUUAUUUUUCUUUCCAAACAAAUCUCUUCCGGACUUUCCACGAUCCUUCUUUCGAGGUUUUCCAGGGGGUCGCUUGUAUUUUGGAGGCAGAACUACCUCAUUCAGAAUUUCCUUUGAAAUUAACCAAUCAUCUUUGUGUGGAAGAGGAUAAACCGGAAUAUCAUACUUUCUCAACACUGUUUUUGGCUUGUAUAGAUUAGAGCAAUAUGGUCCCUUUUUAAAAUUCUUGCUAUCAAGAACUGCACAAGUAUGAACACAUGGUAUCUCAUCCAACUGAAAUGCAUUCAAGAACAUUUUUUUCCUUAAGACAAACAAUAAAAUAUUUGUCCUUGUCAUGGACUGUAUAUAUAUACUCCGAUGCAGGUAUAACCUGAAAUUAGUAAAAGCAAAUUAGUUAGUAAAAGAAAUUAAUUUACAUAGUUAUAUGACAAACAGUUUUGCAAAUAUAUUAGAAUAUAUAUACAGCAUAAACACAAAAAUUUAUUAUGUGUUUAUGCAUAUAUAACCAAAUACCCAAUGAAAAAAAUUAUUAUUUAUAUAUACAGCAUAACAAAUAAAUUUUAUCAUACCUUCAUAUGUGUACAAUCCGCUUCAUUCUGUUGUAGAAUUUUUUGAAACUUACCAAUAAGAUCUGUAAAAGUAUACAACGCCUGCUGUCUAUUUUCACAGUUCUAUCUACAAAAAAUCAAUCUAACUUCCUCUAAAAAAUCAUAUAUUGGUAGUUCUCUUGCUGAAACCAGUGCAGAAUUAAUUGAUUCGAAAAUGUUUGAUGAACGGAUGGAUAUGACCUAGCCCAUUUAUCAUAUCCCUCCAAUUUCAAGUAAUUCUUCACUGUAACAUCAACUAUCUCCACCUUCUCCAUUAAUUUGUGAAAUUCGAUCUUUGAAUAUGAUUUUGCCAUGAAAUAGAAGACGUCUGACAAUGCAUCAUGUGAUUUUCUAAAGUUUGUUUUCACAUUUUCCCAUAAAUGCCACAUACAAGCAUAAUGUGGUACAUCAUUAUACACCUCAGUUAAAGCUUUAAUGAUGCUUGCAUUACGAUCAGAAAAUACACACAAAUUUCUUCUUUCACCAUAUACUUCCUUUAGAUUUUCAAAGAACCAAGUCCAAGAAGCAUCAUUUUCGGAAUCAAGAACACCAUAGGCCAAUGAAAAUAUAUGUCCUGCAUGUUAAAAAAAAAAUACAAGCAUACAUGAUUUUUAACAUAUCAACUUAUUACUACAUACAGUUGCAAAGCUACUAAACUUUCAGAGGAUAUAUAAAACUACUGCAUACGUAUAUUUUAAAUCCAAAUACAUAUUUGAAGUCAAAUACAAUUAUAAUUAAAUAUCUUACCAGCUCCAUCCAUGGUACAUGCAGCUACAAAAAUUCCAUUAUAAAGUCCUCUUAGAUGACUUGCAUCAACAACAAUGAUAGGUCUGCAAUGCUCGAACUCUUGAAUGAAUGUAGUUAGUGCAAUAAAUAUAUACAAAACUCAUUGUCUUCAUUCUUUUUCAUUCUAAUAUGUGAACCGGGAUAACAUGUGUUUAACACAUGUAUUUAUGCAGGUAGUUUCCCGUAUGAUGCUGCUGAUUUCCCUCUUAAAUCUUCAAGUGCUUACUCCUUCGCUCGCCAACACAUAAUAUAUGUUAAAUCCAUACACAUGUCUUCCUUCAUAUCACUUUUGAUUUCAGAUGGAUUGUAUUUUCAUUUGUGGCAUUUUAACUUUGGUUUGACUAUACCACUAAUCAACUUACCAGUAGCAUGCAAUUUAGGAUAAAUUUUAUCUUUUAUUGGACAGGUAUGUUCUGAUAAAAAUUCUCUGACAUAAAACAUUCUAGAUUCAUCGAUACCAGAUGCACAAAAUAAAAAAGCAUAAUUACCAGAUCUGCACAACAAUGUAUAACUGAAAACCAAAAUAAAUACAUAUGCUCAAAUACAAUUAACCAUCUGAAAAAAAAUAACUAAAUGCAUAAUACACUUAUCAGGUUUUACUCGAUCUUAAAGAUAGUGUUCGAAACUUCUCUCGAAUUGAAUAGCCCUUCAUGACUGAUUGUAAUACUCUUUUUGAGAUAUAAACUUGAUCAACCUCAAUAUGUUUGUGAUGUAGGUCGGGGAUAAUAACUUUACUUGUAUCCAUUUCAAAUACAUCCAAACACUCUUCUGAUGGAGUAACCAUUAAUGCUCUUUCACUACUUGUAUUUCCAAUAAUAGUCUCACUGACAGUCAUAUUUAGACUUCCCGAAUUAUACAAUGAUGAACUUACCAUUAUGCUGAAAUUAUCCCUCUCAGAAACACUUACAUACAAAGGCAAAAUACUCAAUUCCUUCAACUCUUUUUUCUGCAUAAUAUAGACCUUUAAACCCAUGUCAUUAUGAAUACGUAUUUCCAUUGCACUAUAUUUUAAUUGAUACUUGAUUUCAAUGUAUUUGGACGUCAAAUCAACAUCAACAUGAGCAGCAAGUACAGUGUACAAUUGGUCAUACGUAAAGUUCAAGCUCAACAAUAUCGCAUCACUGAUGUACUCUUCAUAUUGUUGCUCAUAAUUCCAUUUUUCUGAAUGUUUAACAAGAACUGCAAUGAUUUUCAUCUUCAAUCUAUACAAAACCACAUAAAUUAAAAAUCAAUUCAACUAUGUAAUUCGUAGUAUACACAACAACAAAUUCGCUAAUACAAAACUCUAAAGAGAAUUCAACCAAAAUCAAUUUUGAAACCUGCUAAUCUAAAAAUAAAUUCAGAUUAACGUUUUAAAAUUACUUCUCAACUUUCAUAUUUUAGAACAGCAACGCCAUAUUUAAAAUUGUUAAAAAUAUGCAUUAACAAUUUCUUACGAAAUUUUAUAAAAUUGACAUAAUAUAUCAAUAUAUUAGAAUCACGCGAAAUUUACGCAUAUUUGGUACAAUUUCUUCAGCAAAUUUAUCAAUAUAAUUAUAAUGAAACCAAAAAUAGUAUAAAGUUUGUUGAUCAAUACCUGAAAUUGCACAAUCGAUUUUUAAAUGUGCUUCACAAUGCUUCACAAUGCUAGCCGAUCUGAAAUUUUGAUUUUGAUUUUUUUUUCUGAUAAUGAAAAAUUUGUUUGAAUUUGAAUUAAUUGGUGUAAAUUAGCGUUGAUUUAAAAAAAGAGUUCUAAAAGGUAAGGGCAUCUGUCAAUUAAUUAUACCAUAAAUUAUGGAACCGUUUUUUACCAUUUUAAUCUGAAACUGAUUUGCUUUAUUUUAGGAACAUAAUAUUCUUCUGUAUAUGUAUUCAAGUAGCAACAGUUUACUCAAAUACAAAAUACAUAUUGCUAUUUUUUGUAAUUUUGAAACUGUUGCAAGAAAAGUUGUAAUUAAGACUAUAUAGUUGUUAUUUAUGAAAUUUUCCCUUUUCAAAAUCAACUUAGUUUAGAAGUCUGACCAGCUAUUAAGAUUAUUGUUCAUUACUCUCUGUUAUCUUUUUUGCAAUUUGGAAAAUUAGAAUAAACACCAAAAAAAAGUAU
rnacentral:lncRNA from 1 species